rnacentral:lncRNA from 1 species
CUAGCAACAGAGGGGGAAAAGAAGAUCAGCUGGGUAAUAGGAAGAGAAGAAGGCGGUAAGUAUCUGACAGCAUAUUGGGCUGAUCUUCAUGGCCUGAUAUACAAUACUCUGCCACCUGAAAUAUUUUUAUGGGGUCACCAGUACCUCUCUUUCUGUAUUUCUGAAGACAAAUUAACUAUCAAAGUUAGAGCUAAGGAUCUUGAGACUGAUGAAAUAAUCGAGAUAGUAGGAGAUUUGCUCGUCGGAGCAGAUGGUAUCCUCUCAUCAAUUGGUCACAGCAUUCUACCGAACUUCAAAUUGAGGUUUGUGCUUGCUUGUGAAUAUCAAUAAAAGUAAUUAAUUUUUGAGAAUUUUGUUUCAUAAAUUUCAAUGUGUUUUUAAUAGGUACACAGGAUACUGUGCGUGGAGAGGUGUUUUUAAUUUUUCAGAAAACGAUUCAGAAACCAUCUUAGGCAUUCGAAAAUCGUAUCCUGAUAUUGGGAAAUGCUUUUACACGAAUAUUGGUUCAGGAUCUCACAUCAUACUCACUGAGCUUAAGAAAGAGAAGUUCAAUUGGGUUUGGUAUGUCAAUCAACCUCAGCCCGAGCUCAAGGUAACUGCUUACUUUUGUUUCAUCUUUCUAUUUUGGUUUCGGGGUUUGAGUUGAGUGCUAAAAUCUAAUUUUUGCAAACGAUCAACACAGCUCAGACCAUCACUGGAUCCAUUUUUUUUUUUUAAUUUUAAUUUUCCGGUUUAUCAAUGCAGUAUGACGUGACAUUGGGAAACAAAUUAUUUUAUUCUCUGCAGGGAAAUACAACUUCUGUGAAAGUAAGCAGUGACAUGAUCGAGGAGUUGCACCAAAGAGCAGAGCAGGUUUGGUUACCUGAAUUGUCAAGAAUGAUCAAAGAAACAAAGGAUCCUUUCCUUAAUGCUAUCUAUGAUUGCGAUCCUUUGGAGAAAAUCAUCUGGGACAGAGUGGUGCUAACAGGAGAUGCAGCUCACCCGACAACUCCACACUCUGCCAGAAGCACAAACAUGGCGAUAAUAGAUGCAGCAGUGUUAGGAAAAUGCCUCGAGAAGUGGGGGCCGGAUCAUUUAUACUCUGCUCUGGAAGAAUAUCAAUCCAUUAGGAAGCCUGUAACUUCAGCACAAGUUCUACAUUCGCGACGAUUGGGUCAAAUGAAACAGGGGUUAAGUAUUCCUGGAAGGGAGCGGCCUUUUGAUCCAAAGACAGCAAGUCUAGAGGACUCGGAAUUCAUCCUUAACAAAAAUGUGCCUCUCGUCGACGUUGUUCCUCCGAUUCUUGAUUCAAUUUUUCGUUCUGCUUGAUAAUUUUCAAGGGAGAAAGUAACAUUUUCAUUUUUAUGCAACAAAGUCAUCUAGAGACAAACCUUCUCUUGUGUUCUCACAGCUUUGGGGAAACUUCAAAGGACACGGCUUGGUCUGUUCAUUAUGCUAACUAUAGCUGCCUAUAAAUAAGAGGGUUGACCUCAAUUGUGUGAGUAAAAGAACUGCUAUACUUAUGUUCCUUCCUGUAAUAACGAAAGCCUCUUACUUAAUUCAGUGUCUCUACUUCUUCAGCAAAAUAAAAAUAAAUUCUUGAUCGAAUACACCCAACUUUUCCAAUUUUCUUAUAAAAAUGACACCACGAUAGGAUGGGAUUGUCCUUGUGUUGUGUCAUUGAUCUAUCCAUAUUUGUUUUUCCCAAAAACAAUUUCCAUGAAGGAGGAUGUUUUGCUGCUUGUUAGUGCACGCUAUUUAAGCACAAGACAUGAUUGAGAUUUAUGCAAGGUAUGUGGUAGAAUUUAUGUAAGACGACCGAUGAAGCUAAACAUGAGAGUUAGUAACUUUUACUAUGGUGAUCAACGCGUUGAAGAAAAAUUUUAGAAUUUUUAUUAUAAGUGGUGCAUACAAAAGUUGGUGAGUCGAACUUGUACUCAAAUACUAGCUCAUGUAUUAGGAGUUGUCUUAGGCUUACGUUAUUAGUCUAGUAACUAAUAUUAGCGAUAUGAAAUAUUUUUUCUAUCAUCUUCCAUCACAUGUGUGUAGGUCAAUCUUUUUGUUUGGUCCUUGUCUAGUGAUAAGAUAGUGUGAGUGAUUUUGAGAAAAAAUAUGAAAAACACAAACAAUGAAAAUUCCCUUUUACUUAAACUAAGACAGAGAUUUUUUUACACUGAAGUUGGUAGAAGACACUCGAAUGCGCAGGAGUGAAAUCUUGACAAAUUAAAGCGAGAACUAAGCCAUGCUAGUCCUUUCUCGCGCAUUUAGUUGACAUUAUUUUGCUUUGCAAAUAAAUGCGGGCAUGGUUGAAGGCAUUUUAUCUUUCCGGAAGUGGAUGGAGAAAUAAAGAUAAUUAAAAGGGAUGCGAAUAAUAAAUGCCAGUUUUUCUUAAUAACGAAGAAUAUAUUAGAAAUAAAUUGAAAUGUAACAAAAUACUUGAAAUAAUUCAAGUGAUGGGUUUUUUCUCUGUCAAUAACGCGCGAUAGUUCCUUGUCAUGAGCUUCUUAUCUUCUGUCUUGAAGGAAGAAAUUGCGAAAGACGAAUAAAACGAUUUCCUUUACACAUUCAAUCAAUGCUGCUGCCUUUAUAUCUUUAUUAUUCUCGGAGGGAUGAUACUGUUGAGAGCCGAAACCAUUACCCAUACUCACUCCUCUAAUAGCCAUGUCUAACUCUCUACAAUAAUUUUGAUAUUGCUGUUCUUCAGUUCUUCCACUACUCAACAAAUGUCAUAACGUUAUCUAUUUGUUAUAUGACUGACAUGAUAUUUCAGUUCUUCCUUUACACAUUCAACCAAUGCAUGCACACCACUGGUAUGGAGAUUUUUCAAAAAUAAAUACACACAUGUCAUAACGUUAUCUAUUUGUUAUAUGACUGACAUAAUCAUAACGUUAUCUAUUUGUUAUAUGACUGACAUGAUAUUUUUUAUGUAUUCUAAAAUUUUUCAGAGUGGAGACCAUGAGUGGUAACAUCCACGUGACAAAAGAGUAUUACAAAGAGAUAGUCUCUUGUCAAUUUGAAUAUUUAUUGUAUUGAAACUACUAAGUAUAUAAGCUCGGACAACCCUAAUUUCAUGAUGAGGGGUUAAAGACAAUACUAUUCUAAAAGAAAAUGGAACGAAAUCGUCCAUCCAUAGCCAUUAUUUGACUUUUAGAUUUGCCCUUCUAAAUUUUAACAAAAUGCGCAGACAAUUUUUAAUUUAUUCAAGCGAACGAAGUACAACAAAAUUAUUAAACCAAUCAGAACCAAGAUGGAAAUGAUCAUAAGCAAAAGUAAUUUGCAAGGACGAAUGGAAGCAGAUAAAUUAUUCUAAUUAAGAGAUUAAGUGCAAGUGAAAUAACUGUAGCACUGAUUAUUCGAGUGUGGAGGGAACGUCGUCGAAGAAGGGUAAACUUCUCUGUUUCAGGAUUUCACAAUCCUCAGGACUUGCUGUGUUUGGAUCAAAAGGCUCACGAUCAGGGGUAGGUAAGCCAAGUUUUAUUUGACCCACUCGCCGCGAAUGCAGGACUUGCUUGGUAGUGACAGGUAGCCUAACAGAUUGAUGUUCUUCCAGAGCUGAAUAUAAAUUUUCUGGCCCCCACCUCUCAAGGCAUUUACCUAAAACUGCUGCAUCAGCUAUGGCCAUGUUUGUGCUUCUUGCACAGUGAGGGGUUAUGGGAUGAGCCGCAUCUCCAAUUAAGACCACAUUGUCCCAGUAUAUUUGUGUCAAAGGGUCACAAUCAUAUAUAAGGUUAAGGAAAGGCUCCUUUGUUUCUUUUAUUACUCUUGCAAACUCAGGAACCCAAAUCUUCUCUGCUUCUUGGUGCAUCUUCUUGAUCAUGUCACUGCUCACUUUCAUUGUAGCUGAAUCUCCCUGAAAUUACUUAAUUAAUUUAUUAAAGCUAGCUCUGCUAACACGUAUGUAUAUAAAUGAUAAAAUGAAGCAAGUUAGGCAAUCACCUUGAGUUGAGGCUCAGGUUGAGAGAUAAACCAAAUCCAAUUGAGCCUCUUGUACAUAAGCUCAUCAAGGACGGUGUAAGUUCCAGAGGCCAAGUCCAUGUGCACGCCAUUCCCAAGCGUAGGAUAUGCCUUCCGGAUGCCUUGUAUGGUUUCUGAAUUAUCAUUUUCCGAAAAAUCAAAAACCCCCCUCCAAGCACAGUAACCUGUAUACCUGCAAAACAGAAAUGAAAAAUAAACCGUAAAUUUCAAGACAACAGAAAAUAUGAAAACAUAAUAUAAUUUGUUCAGAAACCUGAGUUUAGAGUCUGGUAAAAAAGUCUGGCGAACUGAUGAGCGGCUCCCGUCAGCCGCAACCAGCAAAUCUCCAGCUAUGUCGAUGACCUCAUCAGUUUUAAGAUUCUUAGCUUUGACAUUGACAGUUGAUUUGUCGUGAGAAAUGCAGAAAGUGAGGUACAAGUGACCCCAAAAAAAUAUUUCCGGAGGCAGAGUAUUGUAUAUAAGACUAUGAAGAUCUGUCCAAUGUGCCUGUAAAUAGUUGAAAUUUUCAUCUCUAGCUAGUAUCCGACAGAUGUUCUUUUCCUGAUCUACUGCCCGAUUCUGCACAGAAAGAAAAAUUAAAAAAAUCAGCACAACUUGUGGGAACAUCAGUUGAAAUUAAAGCAGUUCUGUGUAGACACAUACAUUACCUGAUCAAUGGUGAGAGGUAAGGUGAUGUUGUGAAGAAGAUCAGGUUGAUGGAGCCAUGACUUAACUAUUUUCUGGGACAAUGGAUGAAGUGCGAUUCCAGCGCCGGUUGGGUUUCCGGUUGGAGGUCCACGUGUCUUCUCUAUCACCACCACAUCCCAACCUGCUAAAAUAAGCGCUUUUGCGCAUGAUAUCCCUGCUAUGCUUCCCCCAACUAUUAUAGCUUUUGGCUUCCGCAUCCUCUCACUCAUGUCUCUCUCUUCCUCUCAAACACCAGUAUGUGUGACACAAAGGGACGCUUGCGCAAAGAUAUAUUUAUAUACAGGGGAAAACUUCCCAUUCUGAAUUCAUAAAUCAGGAUGAGCCGGCAAUCAUAUGAACAUUUUUUUAAAAUAAAUUUUUUUAAAAAUUUUUAUACUAUUGUUAAUUUGACUCGGAUUUUAAUAAAAUUUAACAUCUCGAACCAAGUCACUACUCUAGAAAUUUUUUUCAAUUUGAACUUAUAUAUUCGAAUUCAAGAACAAGGUUUAAUAAUGUAAUGACCGUGAAAACUAUUACACCAUAUGGUUUAACAAUGUAAUGAUAUUAUACUAUAAAAUCAUUUAAUAGCUUUUUGAAUUUUAAUAAUAUUUAGGAUUCUAAACUAGAUCAGUACUAUAUACACACACAUACACAGGCGAUGCCAGGAAUUAUUUUUAACAGGCUCUAAGUUUAAAUAGUAAUUUAUUUUAAAAAAAUAAUUAACAAAUAACAUAUAUAAAAAGAAAAUUUAUUAAAAUAUUUAAUUCAAUACACUUAUAAUUGUUCUUGCCUUGGUUUUAUAUGUUAAAAACAUUAAAGAAUAAUCUCAUUAUCAAGACUACAAAAUAUGUCUUCUUCUAUGUAUAUAACAAAUCUAUCAUUCAACUAUUGUUCUCCCAUUUGAUUUCACAGAUGAUUUUUUAUAAAAUUUAUAGUUGAAAAUAUCCUUUCUACUGUAUCUCUAGUAACUGGUAAAAUUAAUGCUAAUGUCACCAAUAAAUAAACUAAUGAAUAUAAUUUACUUUUCUUAGUCUCACCGCAUUGUUAUUUUAUUAUUUAUUUGAAAUCUGAUAAUAAAUUAUGAUUAAAUAUGUUCGCAGCAAUUACAAAGUCUUGAUACAAUGUUUCUAUCUCACAUGAUGACGUAACAUCAAUAUCGAUGAUCGCUAAUUAGGGAUUCCAUUAUCCUAUUUUCCCUCUCACAUGAUGAAUAAAUAAACAGUUUUAAAAUCUCGCGUCACCCAAUGUCUAGAAUGUACCCGGAGGCCGCAGCCUCAAAAGUAGUUAAAUUAAAUUCAAACUCUACAAACUCAAUAACAUGAUUACGUCUUAUUCUUUCUUAAUUGAAGUUGAUUUUUCAAGGAGGCAAUUUGUCCCGUCAUAUGCAGCCAAGUUAGAACGAAAAAAAAUGCUUAAUUCAAAUCUCAAGGUCUUGAAGAAAUCUUUCUAGUCAAAAUAAAUUCUCAUGUCAGAUUUUUCAAUCUGGCGAUAUGAAAUUUGCCUAAUAAAUCUCUAUAUUCAGACAUCACGUUUAUGAAACCCUUGCAUUCAGAAUAAAUUCUUCCGGUAUAUCAAAAAAAAAAAAAAAUUCUUGCGGGUAAGGAGGAUCAAAUGCAAGAAUAAAGUUUGAUAAAAAUGAAUAAAAGGAAUAAGGUAAAAGGAUGAAUAAUUUUGGUAAAAUUAAGUACCAAAAAUAAGAUUUAGCAUAUGUUUGUUGUGGUUUAUUUAAUAACUAAAAGUUUUUACAAGUUUUUUUCAAAAUUUUUACUGUUGUUUGGUAGUAUUUUGGAUAGAGAGCUUUUGAGAAUUAAAUAAGUUAUUUUGCAUCUACCAAUAAAAGUGCAAAUUAAAUAAGUUAUUUUGGGAACAAAAGUUGUAGAGCAUUUUUCAAGUGUUAAAUUAUCUAACAUACCUUUUAUUUAUUUUACAUUUUUAUUCCAUUCUUUUCAUAAUAUGAUUUUAAAUAAAUUGGUCAAUUAAAGUAAUUUUAUAAUUUAAAUUUUUUAAUAAAAGUUCAUAUUGACAACCAAAUAAUCAAAAUAUUUUGGUAAAUCUCCACUUGUAACAACUUAAUUUUAUUAAAAGCUCUAUCUGAAUUAACUUAAUUGAAAAGUUGUACCAUAUAGAGCAUAGAGUCAGUGACGAUGCGGAAAUAUAAUAAGUUGAUUGAUAGAAGAAAUUAGGUUUCUAAAUAAUAAAAGUUUUGUUAGAAAAGUUUAAAUGAACAAAACUAGUGUUUUGAGCUCCUAUUAUAAUAAUCCUAAAUAUCACAAAUUUAUCAUAAUAAAAAAAUCUAAAAUAUUAUUUUAUAAUAAAAUCUCAUAAUCUAAAUAAAGAAACCAAAAUAAGCAGCACCCAAAGCCAAUAUCUAAAAAAAAAGAUAAAAUCAUAAAAUCAAUAGAAAAAAAGAAAAAUAACCUAAUGCUGAAAAAUGAUCAGGAAAUAAGUAAAACUUUUAGAUCGACCACGAGGCAGAACUAUGCAAGCUAUUAUGUUUGGUUUGUCUCGUUGCAGGCUUCGAAACGGUAUAUUAUAUACCUAAAAUGGAUCCCUGUAAUCUUAGUUAUGACCUCUAGAAAAUAAUCUGCUCAUCUUACGCAACGAUCCUACAUUAGCUAGCCCAGCUUGGGAUUGUGAUGACUAUUGAAAAUGUGAUUAAAAAGUUAAAAUGAUGGGUGGCUGAGCCACCGUCUUUGAAUUCAAAGACGGUGGAUGGCUGAGCCAACCACCAUUAUUGAACAAGGAAAAUGGGUGGGUGCUACCCAUGCAAAUAAGAAAAGGACCGUGGUUUUUCUCCGUAUUUGGAGUUUUCCACGUAAAUCUUGUGUUGUGUGAUUGGUGUAUUCUCCAUUUAAUUUUUCUGUUAAUUUGUUGCUUGACAAAUUGCUUGAAGUGAUCUUGAGAGAAAACUCAAUUUCCUAACAAUGGUAUUAGAGCCAACGGUUCGUACUUUGGGUUAUACGGUAUUGUUCACGUAUACAGUACUGUUUACGUGAAGCAGUGAGGCCAAUCCAAAUAGUUUGUGGUGAAGAUCAAAGACUGAUCUAUAAAGCAAAUAUGUCAGCAGCUGGUGUUUUUCAAACUUGGUGGAGUUUGAUUUUUUAUUGGCUUGUGGAAAAUUCAAGUCAAAUGUGUAUCCAAUCUAGUAUGCACAAGAAUUUGAAGGUGUGGCAAUUUGGCACCUCAAGGAAAUUGUUAAGAAGGUGGAGUGGGCUCGGCAAAUUGCUCCAGAAUUGAUAAAGGAGAUAUUGAUAUUCUUGCAAAUGGUGAGUUUCUUUUUAUAAGAGACUGGGUUAGAUCUUUUGGCAUGUAGAUCUCCAAGUUGCCAUAAAGGAGAACAUGUUAUUAUCAGCGGAGUCCACAAGUUUGCACGAAGGCAUUGGCUUGGUAUAAAUGCAAGGUGUGUGUGAUGGAAAAGUUAUAUCAUGGCUGAAGAAUUCUCAGUGAAACCAAGCAUGAGAAUUGCACUAUAAAUUUCAGUAGGAUAUUUUGACAUGUACCAAGAAAAACCUUAGAACGGUUGAUUCUAAGUGGUAUACUCUUUAUGGUGGAGUAUGAUAAUUCUCUAUGUUGAGAAUUAUGACUGUUGGUGAAGACGGUGUUUUGUAGCGAUAGCUACAAAUUUUUUUUUUUAAUCAUGGUGGAGAUUAUUGAAAAUGUGAUUUAAAAAAAAUGUGUCAAAAUGAUGGGUGGCUGAGCCAACCACCAUCAUUGAACAAGGAAAAUGGGUGGGUGCCGCCCAUGCAAAGAAGAAAAAAAGGAAGAAAAGGAAGCCAAAAUUUGGUUAUAAAUAGAAGGGUUCUCCCCCUCAUUUAGGUAUCCAAGUUUUGGUGAGAAAUUGAGAAAGAAACAUAUUUUUAAGCACGUAGUUAUAUUGAAGGAGGAUUUGGUUCCUCAAUAUGGGUAUUACGAGUUUAAUUUGUUAGGGAUAUUUAUAGGAAAUUAGGAAUCAUGUUUUUGGGACUUAGGUGAGAGAAAAGUAUUUAUGAGAAAGUGGUUGUAAAAAUUUUCCACAUAGUGAAUAUUUUUUCUCUAGUUGUCUUUUGACAACAACCGUGGUUUUUCUCCGUAUUUAGAGUUUUCCACGUAAAUCUUGUGUUGUGUGAUUGGUGUAUUCUCCAUUUAAUUUUUAUGUUAAUUUGUUGCUUGACAAAUUGCUUGAAGUGAUCUUGGGAGGAAGCUCAAUUUCCUAAUAAUGACUUGUGAAAUAAACCGCUUCUAUAAUGCGAAUGAAUAAUCUACUUAUUAAAAUAGUAGCUUCGUAUUUGGUAAAGUGUGUUGUUAUGGUUGCUUUGAGUUUGAAAAAAAUAGUACAUGUGUUUGAUAGAUUUUAGUGCGAAUGUGAUGUUUUGUUAUAUAUUGACCGAAAUAAUUAUAAUUUAAAUUUUUUAUUUAUAUAUUAGGAUGCAUGAAAAAUAAGAUUUAAUUGUCUCUUUGUUAAAACAUUAAGGUUAUAAUAGGAACUUAAAAAAGGUGUGGUGUCUUAUUUGAUACCUAUUUAUAAAUAGCAACUGUACAUACUUUGAAAAGUUAUUGUCAAAAAAAAAAAACUUAUGAAAUAGUGGUUUUUAAAAAAUUUAUCUAACACUAUUUAUUAAUAUAAGAGAGCUCUAUAUAUAUUAAAUUCUUUUAGGUAAAUUAAAUUUUGCCCCUUUGAUUUUGAGGUCUGGCUACAUCACCGAUUGAAGCUUGUGAUUUUUUUAUUUACUAGUGCAUGAAAUCUUUAAUUUUGUUAAUAUAUUAGUGGCAUCAAUGAAUUAUUCUCUCUUUCUCUCUAUAUAUAUAUGAGAAAGGUGAUCAGGUCUGCGACUAUAUAUCAAACUCCUAGAUUUUUUUAAUCUUAAUCUUCAAUGAAUUAUUACUAUAAGAGAACUGAUCAAGUGCGUGGCUAUAUAUCAAACUCCGAAAUUUUUGGUGUUGUACGCAGUUAUGAUUAGAGAUGGCAAAAGUCCGGGUCGGGUCCGGGUUUGGGGCUGCCCGGGACCGACCCGGAUGUCAAACGUAGCUACCCGGACCCGCACCGUGCCCGGAAUUUUUCUAUGCGGGCCGGGCACAUGCCCGGCACUAUCCGGGCACGGAUUUUUUUCUGGGUUUUCUCUACCCGGAUUUGAGUGAUGAUGACAGAAUCAGAAAAAUUGUUUCAACUGACCCCAAUGCCCCUUUCAAUCAAUCCCAGGUCCCUUCACUCUCUAACCUCCCCUUUUUAUUGUUAUCAUCACACUAGCUACCUCCCUGUUACCUAUGUAAAAGUAGAUUCCGUUAACUAAUUUAUAUUUGUUAUAUGUUUUUUAUUUGUUAUAUUUUUUUUUUUCAAUUAUGGUAUAUAGAUAUCAGACCUGCGAAGCAGCAUGCAAAAGAACUGGCCAACACUGGCUUGCCCAAGCGGGAAUGGCAUAACAUUUUAGAAUGCUUACAUCACUCACCUCCACAUAACAAAUGUCGAACAUUAUUCAUUAAAAAAAUAAAUUCAACGAAUACCACCUGAAGAGCGCGAUCAAGAGCAUCGGAGCCAACGGGAUGAGGGCCCAGUUCAGUCAACGCUUUGACGUGCUUGAUAGCCUCAAACUCGGAGAAUCCUCUUUUGCCGGCCUGGUCAGCGGUGAGAGGAGGAGGCAUAUGCUCGUACUGAUAGUAGUAAACGCCGUAAGUGGCGUAGACGAAGGCCCCAAACGCAACCGUCCAUGCGAGCCCCGAUCGCUUGGCGCUUCUCACGUCAACUGUCAAUACUGCAUCGCCAUCGGUGAAGGAUGGAUGGUGGCUGUUGGUGGAGAGACGGAGGGAGGAGGUGCCGAUUCUGAGACUUGUUGCGAAUUCGCGAUUUAGGGUUGGUCGGUUGGGUUUGGGGGAAAUUGGGCAAAGGAAAAUGUAAUUUUUGUUUUUAUAUUUUCCUUUCUUUUUUUACUUAAUAAAAAAGCGGGCACGGGUCCGAGUUCCGGGUUCUUGGUGUUGUGACCGGACCCGUGCCCGGAAACAGCCGGGUAUUGAAAAUCAAUGCCCGGAACCGCUUUUUUUAUGCAUCCGGUCCGGGUUUUACCCGGACCGGAUGUGCCGGGUCCGGUCCGGGUCCGGUCCGGGCGGGCUUUUCUGUCAUCUCUAGUUAUGAUCUUAAUCUUUGGCUAAGGGUAUGAUUGGGAUUGCAUUAGCUUGGUAAAUAAUCCAUCCUCAUAUAAAUUCUCCAAUAAUUAACUUUGCAAAUAAUUUGAUGAGAUGUUUGGUAAAAUUGGAUUAUAAGGAAAUCAAUUAUUAAAUAAUUUACUUAACAUGUUUGUCGUAUUAAUCAAAAUAUUGUGUUGUGUGCAAAUUACCAAGAUGGACAAGUUUUCUUAUAUAGUAAUAUAUAAUGAUAAUUAUUACGAUUUAUUUAUAUUAAUAUAUCAAAUAUUAGUGGUGGUGACGCUAUUUGUUUGCCGUUUCAUGGCUGUAAUUAUUUUAGAGGUGUGCGGGAGCAACCGCCAUUUCUCUGUUAUUGACAUCAUACGUUUUGGAGUUUGAUAGCAGAGGUAUUGUCGCAUAAUGAAGACUUUACCUAGAUGCAGACGACGGCGCCGAAGACAUCGCCGGACGCCAGCAAUAAUCUAGUUGUUUCCUUUUCUUUUUUUUGUCUUGUUUAAAUGUAAACAUAAAUAUGUUAUUAGUGUAAGGGUGUAUUCGAAAUUGUAUUGUUAAAAUGAGGAAAAUUUUGGUAUUAUGCUUUACAAAAUCAAAUUCUAUAAAAACCCGAAUUUCCAAAUCUACUUUCUCAUGUUUUUAAUGAUAAAUUAUUUAAAAAUUCUCUUUCUUAAUUGAAAUUAACUUUUCAAGGAGGCAAUAUGGACUUUGCGUCGUAGGUAAGUUAAAGGCCCUUAAUCCCACGAUGUUCAUGAUGAAACCUUUCUAUUCAAAAUAAAUUCUUCAGUUCGAUUUUUGAGGCCGGCGAGAUGGAAUAUUUGCUAAUACAUAAGUUUGGGAAACUCUGGAUUCAAAUCAUUCGGCUAAAUUUUUAAGAUCCAAUUAAGUGUUUUUUAUUAUAACAUAUGUGUGAUUAACAUUUAUUUUUGUAAUUUAAAGCCAACUAAACGAUGCGCUGUAAUUUCCACAAUUGCUACAAAUUUGGGAGUGUCCCAGCCUUCACCUUCCUUGAGAAGCCAUCUUCUUCUUCAAACCUUACUUAUCGUAGGAUACUUCCAGAGAUAUUUACUCCUCAAAUUGCAAUUGAAUUGAUUAUGGUGUUCAUCAUUCUCAAUGGACACAUAAUGGUUUUUUAACGGUUUCGUCGCGUAUUGAAUUUUACAAAGCUGGGAUUUGUAAUUAAAAUUGAACUUUAGAAAGUUGCAAAAGUGUAAUUGAAAUGUACAAGUCAAUUCUAACCACUCAUCUUUCUAAAUACCAUAUGUCGUUAGAUACUUAAUACACCUUGUGUGCUGGAAUGGAGUAGAUUUUUAGCAGAUACGAUUAGUUAAAUAAAAUUGGAUUGAAUCAUAUUUAGUAUUGUCUUUUGUUUGGCAUUUUAGAUUAUGGUAAUUUUAUAUAUUGUAUGAGAAUUGCGAUGCGAAUAUUUCCGCUGCAAAAUAUUUUAAAACCAAUAAUUGGUAUAAGAGCGAUCUCAUAUUAAUAUAUAGAGUUACUGUAUGAAAUCAAACUCUUGUAUUAUGUGUAUAAAAUUGGUGGCACUAAUUUUUAUAUAUUAUUUCAUUACGUGAAUGUAUAUAAUUAUUGAGCAUAUUAAAUGUUGUCUCAAUUCAUGGUUAGUUAUUUUUUUGUAUUAAUUUUAUGGAUUUGUAACAAGAGAGGUGCUCAAUUUUCACCAUGUUUCUCUCUUGAUUAUUUUAAUUCAUUGUUCUUAGAUUCUUUGUAAGCCAUCUAUGGCAUAGGAGUUCUUGUUUAUAUUAAUUUUUAUUAUAUAAUAAUGUAAAGAACCCAAAAAAACAAAGAAAAGUUGAUGGCGGCAAGGAGAAGAAGAAACGACAGCCUCUCUAGAAUUGGCAGCGAACAGCAUGAAGGGACGGAGGGGUUUCUUUUGAAUUUUUUCAUUAGACACCCUAUUGUCUCACUAAUUUAUGUUUUCUGACAAGACUUGAAAUUUUAUUUCAUUUAAGUCCAACACUAUACGUUGGUGGCGGCUGGAAGAAAAAUAAGUGAUUUAGGGCUUUGGGUUUAUACCCCAUGGCACCGUACAAUUUCACUAUUUUACAGUUCAGCCUAAGUAUUUUGGGUUUUGGGCAGAAAAAAUCAAAUUUAUUUAUAUUGGAUCCAAGCCCAUUAUUGACUAUGAAUUGGAAAAUAUAAAUAUAAAUUUGAUAAGCCCAAUUGUUAUUACUUGUCCAGAUUUUUUUAUAUUGGUCCCAAGCCCAUUUAAGGGAUUUCAAAAUUGAGUUAUAUAAAUAAAAAUUUAGUAGAUCAAAAAUAAAAUUUAUUUGGCUCAAAAAAUUUUAAAGAUAAAUUUGGGUUUAUUUUAUUAAACUAAUUGGGUCUGGAUUUUUUAAAAAAAACAGGUAUUUAAAAAAAAUAAGAGCCAAUAGAAAUUUUUUUUUUUGAAAGGUGCCCAAAUUUAAAUUUAAAAAUUGAACCAGGGAUAAAUUUUAAAAGCCUAAAAGCCCUCAAGGCAAUAGUUAUGUACAAGAGCAAGUACAAGGAAGAGAAAAAAGGAAGAUUGAUGUUGCGUUAAAGCCCAAUAGAUAUUAGGCUUGUAGAUUAAGUCUAUUUUUUUCCUUAGGAAAACCAUGAAUAGAGAUUGUUUAAUUGCUUUUAAUUUAUAUGCUAUGUUUGGUUGAUAACAUGCUAUGAUAACAUGUCAUAUAGAAUAUGAAGUGCCACUCUAUGCAUCAUAAUACAUGACAUCUAUAGAUUAUGAAUCUAAAAAUAUAUUGUUUGACAUUUGCAUGUGCUUAAUAAUAUUAGAUUUCAUCUAGAUAAUAUUAUUAUAGGAAGCAUGCAAUUAAAAUACAUGAUAUAAUUUGUAUAUUGGAAAAACUAACUUUAAAAUAUUGAGUAGGAGAGGGAAAAUUCAAGAUAAUUUUUCCCACGGACUCCAUUAGUAGUUCAAUAAUAAAAUUAUAUAUAUACCUCGACUUCAUGAUACGGUGAUGAUCUCUACGAAGGGUAUAUAUAUUAGACAUUUUAUUUGAUGAACUUCUUUACAAAUAAGGUCAAAAUAUUUUUCAAUCUGUUGAUCACCCAAACUGUGGCGGCAUGGUAUGGAAGAUACGUAGAUUGAAACAAUGAUUAUACACUCCACUAAAAUUUGUUAUUAACCUUCCCAAUGAAGCUCUGUUAACAAAUUUAGGCCCAAAAGGAUAACGAUAAUUAUUUAUCAUGUCUCUACAUGAAAGUAAAUAAUCCAAUGGAUAAUUGGGUCUAGUAAGUGUAGACAUGAUUUCCCCAAUGGAUAGCUUGCCAAAGUAGUACUAGAUUAUCGUUACAAUAAAAUAAAAUGCAUUUAUGAUUUUUUUUUGCAUUUUAGAUUAUUUAUUGUGAACAUUAUUUGUUUCAAAGUAUUUAUGCAUGUCUAUUUUGUUUUUUCAGAAAAUGUCUUCCAUAAACUCAUUAUUCAUUAUCCUUGUUAAAAAUGAACUCACUGACGAAAUGUACUUAGAUUGGAAACACAAUCUAUUUAAUAUUCUCACUGUUAAGGGCUGCAAAUAUGUGUUGACUCAGUCAUUCCCUCUAGAACCAACGUUAUACGAUUAUAGAAAUCAGAGGGAGCCUUAUGAGAAAUUGUGCAAAGCUAACCAAAUGGCUAUGCGCUAUAUAUUGGCUUCGAUUUAUGUGGAACUGCGUAACAAACAUCAGAGCAUGGAAACAACCACUGGAAUAAUUGCUAGUCUUCAUCAGAUGUUUGGACAGAAUAUUCAUUUUGCCAGAGAAGCAGCAUUAAAACGUAUUAUGGAUACUAAGAUGGAAGAGGGCAUAAGAGUUCGUGAUCAUGUCCUCAAAAUGAUGGACUAUUUGAAUGAAGUAGAGAUUCAUGAUGUUCAAAUCGAUGCUAAAACAAAGAUUAACAUAGUGAUUGAAUCUUUGCCUGAUACAUUCAAAGAGUUUAAGAUCAGUUAUAUCUUAAACAAUAAAGAUAUGACCUUAGUUAAUUAAUGCACGAACUACAUGCUAUAGAAGAAUUUUAUCAUAGUAGGAAACUUCCUGAAAAAGGAUUCUCUUGAAGGUCUAAGUCGAAAGACAAGAAUAAUCAAGACAGAGUUGGGAUGAGAAAAUUGUCCACUAAAAGAGAUGGCAGGCCAAAAUGCAAGUGUUAUAAAUGUGGACAGAAGGGUCACUGGAAGAAAGAUUGUCAUAAGAUUAUUAAAAUCAAGUAUAUGAAAUCUUUAAUUUUUCUAAUUAGUUCAGAUUUCUAUUGAUUCAUACAAUAGUGAAUUCUGAGAUAACAAAUCUUAUUUAUAAUUCAUUUAUUUGUUUUUCAGGAAACUAAGAGAUUAAGUGAACAAAGCUUCAAAGAGCAGUUGAGGACAUGCUAGUUUAUAUCAGUUGAAAAGAUAGAUCAAUUUUACGAGACUUUAGUUUUGAUAUUUGUCUUUAUUAUUCUAAAUAUUAGAGGAAUUUAAUUUCGGUAGCUUGUUUUAAUAAAUAUGAGUACACUGUUAUUUUUUUAUCCUCUGUUUAUUACUUAUUUUGGUUAUUUAUAAUGACAAUUUAUAUCAUAUAAGUUCAUUGAUCUAUUCAAAGUAAGAUAUAAUGAUAAAGAGUAUAUGCAUUUAUCUAAGAAAAGAAAUGUUUCUUUUAACCAAUAUCACCUCUGAUAUUUAUGCUUAAAUCAUAUAAACUAUAAUAAGAUUUUAAAAAAAUGAUUAAUGAUAGGCUUGUUGGCCUAUUAAGAUUAAUCAUUGUCACUCUAUAAAUCUUAUUUAGAAAAGUAAUAUGACAAGGAUGCUCUUUUUGAGCCAAAAGCAUAAUAUUAUAUUGGAUGACUUAGCGCAUACAAAUGUAUACGGAUUAAUCAGUUUACAUGUUAUAAGAGGUUAUGAGUAUUCUAUGAAUUUUAUUGGUGAAUAUUCAUUUCAUUUAUGUUUGUCUAAAUGCAUUAUGAUUCCAUCGCUUUAGAAAUUCAAAGAGUAUAGGGCUGAGACAGAAAGCAAUUAGAUAAGAACAUAAAGAAACUACGAUCUGAUCGAAGUGGUGAAUUUCUCUCAGGAGAUUUCAGAGAGUAUCUAGUUGAAAAUAGGAUUAUAUCUCAGUUGACUGCCCUGGGAACACCACAACAAAAUGGGGUAGCUAAAAGGAGAAAUAAAACUCUUUUGGAUAUGAUGAGAUAUAUGCUUAGUUAUUCGCCAUUACCAAUCUCUUUUUAGGGAUUAGCUUUGGAAACUGCAGUUUACCUCUUAAACUUAGUUCCAUCUAAGUCAGUGUCUAAAACCCCAAUAAAAUUAUGGUCAGGUCGCAAACCAAGUUUACGACAUGUUUGUAUUUGGAGAUCACCAGCACAUGUGCUGAAACCAAAGACAGAUAAAAUAGAUUCACGUUAUGAGGUUUAUAUGUUUGUGGGGUAUCCUAAAAGAAAGAUGGGAGGUUUAUUUUAUAGUUCUCAAGAUAGGAAAGUGAUCAUGAGCACAUAUUUCACUUCCCACGAGGAAGACUAUAUGGAUAACUUCAAAUCUAAAAGUAAGGUAAUACUUGAAGAACUGUCAGGUGAUCAAGUUGAUGCUCAGAUUUCAACACUUGUUAUAGAAGAUGAUGAACAACAAUAACUAACUGAUCAACACAUGAUUAUCCCUGAACAAUCAUCAAUUUUAGAAUCUCGUCAUAGUAGGAGGGUAACUAGGUUACCUACUAGAUACAUGUUAUUAGGAGAAACAUAUACGGCUAUCUCAGAUAAACAUGUACAAAAUCCCACUAGCUACAACAAAGCUCUAAUAAACAGAGAUGUUGAACUUUAAAAAAAGACCAUGAAUCAAGAAAUGAAAUCUAUGUAUUCCAAUAAAGUCUAGGAACUUGUAGAGGCACCAAAUGAGGUAAAACAUAUAGGGUGUAAGUGGAUAUACAAGAGAAAAAGAUGAGUAAACGGAAGGGUGAAAAUAUUUAAAGUAAGAUUAGUAGUCACAGGGUUUACUCAGAAAGAGGGAAUCGAUUAUGAGAAAACAUUUUCUCUGGUUGUUAUGCUUAAAUCUAUUAGGAUUUUGCUCUCCAUUAUUGCAGUGCUAGAUUAUAAAAUUUGGCAAAUUGAUGUCAAGGAUGCUUUUCUUAACGGGCAUCUUGAAGAAGACAUCUACAUGUAGCAACCAGAUAGAUUCAUACAAAAAGGCCAAUAACACAUGGUAUGUAAGUUGCAGAGAUCCAUUUAUGGAUUGAAGCAAGCAUCCCGGUCAUGGAACAUCAGAUUUGAUCAAGCGAUUAAAUCGUUUGGAUUCAUUCAGAAUAUUGAUGAACCAUAUGUGUACAAGAAAAUUCAGGGAAAAUUUGUAGCCUUCCUAGUUCUUUAUGUAGAUGAUAUUCUCCUUAUUGGAAACGAUAUAGGAGUAUUGACUACAAUAAAGAGUUGGUUAACAAAAUAAUUUGAUAUGAAAAACCUGGGAGAGGCAAGUUAUAUUUUUGGUAUCAAAUUACUACGAGAUUGGAAGAAUAAAACUUUAACCUUGUAUCAUUUGCUUGUAUACUUAGUGGUUUCAAUACAAUAAAUAUUCAAAUUUGACAUAUUGAGAGGAAUACAAUAAAUAUUCCAAAUAUGUUUUUGACAAGUUAUUCCAAAAACAAUAAAUAUUCCAAAAGGAUCUGCCAAAAACAUAUUUGGAACCACAAGAAACAAAAACAUAUUGAGAGGAAGUAUCAUCUUAUAAGGGAUAUAGUGCAAAGAGGUGAUGUGGAAGUUACUCAGAUUGCGUCACAAGAAAACUUGGCAGAUCCUUUUACUAAGGCCAUACCUGGGAAACUUUUUAACUUGCACUAAUAAUCCAUUGGCAUGCGUGAGAUGUCAAAUAUGGUUUGAGAGCUAGUGGGAGAUUGUUGGGAAAAUAUGCUCUUUAAAAACAUAUGUGUUUAUUUAAUUGUAAUAAAUAAUUUUUCUGAUUAAUAUAAUAAAUGAGGUAUUUUAUUCAAGUAUCUUAGUUACAUUAAUAUUUUGAGUAAAGUCCAUUUAAUCAUAUUAUAUGUGUUUACGUGAUCACCAUAUGGAUUUACAGAAGACAUAAAUACAAGUUAUCUUAUGAUUAAAUAAAUUAAGUUUGCAGUUGAUAAAUAAAGUUAGGCACUUUAUUUAGGUAUAGACUGUAAUAAAUUCAUUUAAUGAUUCAUCUUAAUCAUGUAUGAAUUUAUUGAUGUAGUAAGAGUAUAUUGAAUUGGAUCACAUAUGAGAUUUAAUUAACUUUGUAAUAACUGUCAGACUUAUUAAAUCUCAUAAGCAUUGAUUUUACUAUAAUCUUAAUCUUUAGUUAGUUAUAAUUUCAUGAUUGUAAUUAUCAUUCCAUUUGAGUUACCAAUUGACAUGACACACACUUGUAGUCAAGAUUACUCAGUAUCUUGAUAGGAGCAAUUAUAAAUAUUGAAGUUAUAGAUUAACAAUAUAGAAUUUGUACAACACAUCUCUUGAUGAGUUUUCAACACUUGAUCAUAAAAUUCUCUGGCCAGAUUAUGUCAACAUAUUUAGUAUGUUGAACAUGAUCAUUAGAGAAAAUUAGUAAGUAUCAAGGAAUAAAAUGUAAUUAAAUUAAUUAGACAGUUGAGAUAUCGAUUUAAUUAAUAAUGUGGUACAAAAGAUUAUGCAGUAAAGAAAUCAAUGUGGCAUGGGUCGAAUUAUUAUUCGAGAACACUAUCCUAGAUAACAUACAAUUAUGGAGGUCAGUUCGAAUGUUUUAGUGGAGUAGAUUUGGAAUUAAGUAAUUGGGCUAGUUUAAUGACAGACCUAAUUAUUGUAGCCACUAUUGUAUGUACUCAUAUAAUCCCCGAAUUAGCUCAUUUAAUUGACUGAGCCGCAACUGAAUUAAUAAGCAAGAUACAAACUAACUAUUUUGGUUAAAAGCCUAAAUAUAUUAUUUAGUGGGAGGCUCCAUUUAAUAUGCUUGUGUGUAAGGAGUCAUAUGUUAUUUUACAAGAUGGGCCCCUAUAACAAGAGCAAGUAACGCCACUUUUAGUUUUAUUUUUUAAAUUUAAAUCAAAUUUGAUUUAAGAGAAUUAAAAAUAUAUAUAAAUAUGGAGCCUAGGGCUUCCACUAAAUAGAGAUAUAAAGGGACUUGUUUUCACUAAAAGGGGAGAGGAGCCACAAUAUACAGAUCAGAGAAAAAGAGUUUUUCUCUCUAAUUUUGAGAGAAAUAUUUUCUCUUGCUAGUUGCUUUUAGUGGUGAUAAAGGCGUCCACACGUUAAGUGCAUAUCAAACUUGAGUCAUAACCUGGAAGAUCAUUGGUGACGGAUCGUGAUAUAAAAAGAUUGGUGGUGACAGUUCGUGAUCUAAUGGGAGUGGUGGUAACGGAUUGUGAUCUGGGAGCGUAGAUUACUUCAGCAAAAAAGUAAAGGUACGAUUUCUAAAUUAUGGUAAUUUUAUAUAUUGUAUGAGAAUUGCGAUCUAAAUAUUUCCGCUGCAAAAUAUUUUUAAACCAACAAUUAGCAACUUAAUACACUUGGUACGCUGGAAUGGAUUGUAAAUAUAAUAUUAUCAUAAAAUGUAUUUAAAUUUAAUUGUAUCAUUUUCAAGAGAAAGUAUCAUUUUUUUUUAUGCAACUAAGUUAUCUAGAGACAAACCUUCUCUUGUGUUCUCACAACUUUGGGGAAGCUUCAAAGGACACAGCUUGGAUUGUCCAUUAUGCUAAUAUACCUGCCUAUAAAUUGGAGGGUUGACCUCAACUGUGAGUAAAAGAACUGCGAUACUCGUGUUCCUUCCUGUAAUAACGAAAGCGUCUUAAUUAAUUCAGUGUUUCUACUUCAACAAAAUAAAAAUAAACUCUUGAUUGAAAUACAACCAACUUUCAUAAUUUUCAAUUCUAAUUUUCUUAUAAAAAUGACGCCAUGAUUGGAUGGCAUUGUCCUUGUGUUGUGUCAUUGAUUUAUCCAUCUUUGUUUUUCCCAAAAACAAUUUCCAUGAAAGAGGAUGUUUUGCUGCUCGUUAGUAAACGCUAUUUAAGCACAAGAAAUGAUUGAGAUUUAUGCAAAGUAUGUGGCAGAAUUUAUGUAAGAUGACUGAUGAUUCAUAAGGAAAGCUAAACAUGGGAGUUGGUAACUUUUAGCAUGGUGAUCAACAUGUGUUGUAGAAAAUUUUUAGAAUUUUACUAUAAGUGGUACACAUAAAAGUCAGUAAGUCUAACUUGUACUCAAAUAUUAGCUCAUAUCUUAAUAGUCGCCUUAAGCUUAUGUUAUUAAUCAACUAACUAAUCUCAGCCCAUCUGAAAAAUCUUUUCUAUCACCUCCAGUACUUGUAGGUCAAUUUUUUGUCUGGUCUUUGUCAAUAAUUCAAGUGAUGGGUUUUUCUUUGCCAAUAACGCGCAAUAGUUCCUUGUCAUGAGCUUCUAGGGGUGUUCGCGGAUCGGAUUUUACAGAUUGAACAUCAAUCCAUAUCCGAUCUAUAAUUUUAUGGAUUAUAAUUUUUCAAUCCAAUCCAAUCCACAGAUUGAUAAAAUUCAAUCCAAAUCCAAUCCAUACAUCUACGGAUCGGAUGCGGAUUUGACUCAAUCCAUAUCCAAUCCAUACGUUUGCGGAUCGGAUGCGGAUUUGACUCAAUCCAUAUGCAAUCCACCAUUUUGCGCAUUAGUUUUCGAAUUAAAAAUUUUUUAGUUCUCUCCAACUAAUGAAAUUAAAAAAUCUAAUAUAAAAAUAAUUUUGCUACAAAUUAAAUUUAAAAUUGAAUAAAAUUUAAAUAAAUUAAUUGUUUAAAUAAAGCUAAAAUAAUACAUUUAAAGUUUCAAAAUAUAACACAUCGAGACUAAUUAUUCAAAUAAAGCUACAAUAAUAAGUUCAAAGUUUCAAAAUAUAACACACCAAGCUUAAUUGUUCAAAUAAAGUUACAAUAAUACGUUAAUAUAACACCGAAAUUAAUUGUUCAAAUAAAGCCACAAUUAAUUGAAAUGGAGAAGUUUCGGAAACCAAACACAGUUUGAUCCUUCACCAGGGCUGUUGCGCCUGUCGAAAAGUGGUGAUUACGGAGCCAUCCACGAUGGGAACCAGGAGAAGCCGUACGGGUGGCGAUCUUGAAGGUUGUGAUAGUGAAAUUGUUCAGCUGGAACCAGUGAAUGUGAAGUGGCUCGAUGGACUUUGGAAAGAAGAUGGCUUGCUCUCGCCGGAAUCGCGCGGCUGAUGUCCUUUAAAUCCGUAUUGAGAGUGUAUCCAAUCAGUAUUGAGUGUUGCUAGUGUGUGUGACGGCGGGGAAGCUUAGGGUUUUUUGUUUGCAAAUUGUUGGUGACUUGGCGUUAUGUUACUUUGCUUUUGCUAGUGCGUGUCACUUUGCUUUUAUUUUGUUUUACAAUUUUUACAAGUUAUAUUUGUAUAUUUGAUUAUUUAAUUAUUUUUUAUUUUAUAUUAUUAUUGGGUAAUGGCUAAGAUAUGUUAUAGUGCUUAGUAACUAUGCAAUGUCACAUUUAUAAUUUUUUAAAUUAAAUUUAUAAUAAUUUUUUAAUUAUAUAUAUAUAUAAUUUUUUUUUUUUGCGGAUUCACGGAUUUCUGCGGAUUUACAGAAGUAAAUCCAUAUCCAAUCCAUCGACUGCGGAUUUUUAAAUUUUCAAUCCAUAUCCAAUCCAUGGAUCGGAUUUAUAUAGAUCGGAUUCAACGGAUCGGACGGAUUGAGCGGAUCGGAUUGGAUUCUGAACACCCCUAUGAGCUUCUUAUCUUCUGUCUUGAAGGAAGAAAUUGCAAAAGACAAAUGAAACAAUUUCCUUUACACAUUAAUCAGUGCUGCAGCCUUUAUAUCUUUAUUAUUCUCGGAGGUAUGAUAAUGUUGAGAGCCGAAACAAUUACUAGUACUCACUCCUCUUAUGGCCAUGUCUAACUCUCUACAAUAAUUUCGAUAUUCCUGUUCUUCAGUUCUUCCACUAACCAACAAGUACGACGGUAUAUGCGGUGGCUUCAUUGCUAGAGCCUCUGUGGGCAUAUUUUAACAACGUGAAGGCAGAGCUAAUUAGAAUUCACACAAUUUUCCUAAAAGUCUACAGCUUCCAGGAAAUUCACCACCUCUGUAGAAUUGUAAUAAUAAGACUUGUGGUUUCCGUAAAAGAAUUUAUAAGAGUUAAUAUAAAAGAAUUCGAAAAUGAAUUUUAUAUGGACUAGAAAUACUCUUGAUUAAUUGGUUAUUCAAAUGGUUUAGAAAUCCCCUUAAUAUUAGGAAGUCAUUUAAAAUUCUGAUUAUUGUUGUUCUAAAUAUAUUACUUUGCACUAACUUCCAAUUCCACAAUUACUCUGACAGUCCCGUUUUCACGGAUUUAUUUAUGUAUCUGAAUCUUUUUAUUCAUGAAAGAAUAAUCUCUUGCAAACUCAACUUCAAUUAUGAAUCAACUAGCUAGCAACCAUUUCUUUAUUUUUAAUUGCUUUGGAAAUUAAGGAUUCGUCCAGCCGCCAGAUUCCGCAGUGAUUCUAUUGCAUUGGAUGUCUUCAAUUUUCUUUUGCAUUAGAUUCUUUGUUGAACUAUUUAUGCACAAGUGAAGGAGGAAUUAUAGAAUACAUAUGAGAUAAUACAAUCAACUAAUGCAUAUACAACGUGUGUAAUUGAAUUUAGUGUAACCAUCACCUACGUAGAUAUUUUUCAAAAUAAAUGCACACAAGUUAUAGUAUCAUUUGCUUGUUAUAUGACUUACAGUGUAUUCUAGAAUUUUUCCCAAGUGGAGACCAUGAGUGGUAACAUCCAUCUGACAUAAGAGUAUUACAAAGAGAUAAUCACUUGUCAAAUUUGAAUAUUUAUUGUAUUGAAACCACUAAGUAUAUAAGUUUGGACAACCCUAAAUUCAUGAUGAGAAGUUAAAGACAGUAGUACUCUAAAAGAAAAUGGAACGAAAUGAUCCAUUCAUACCUAUUAUUUGACUUUUAGAUUUGCCCUUCUAAAUUUUAACAAAAUGCACACAUGUUCUCUUGACAAAUUUUUAUUUAUUCAUGUGAACGAAGUAUAACAAAAUUAUUGACCAAUCAGAACCAAGAUGGAAAUGAUCAUCAACAAAAGUAAUCUGCAAGGACGAAUAGAAGCAGAUAGAUUAUUCCAAAAAGAAACUAAGUGGAAGUGGAAUUACUGUAGUACUGAUUAUUCGAUGGCGGGAACGUCGUCGAAGAAGGGUAAACUUCUCUGUUUCAGGAUUUCACAAUCCUCAGGACUUGCUGUGUUUGGAUCAAAAAGCUCACGAUCAGGCAGAGGUAAGCCAAGUUUUAUUUGACCCACUCGCCGCGAAUUCAGGACUUGCUUGGUCGUGACAGGUAGCCUAACAGAUUGAUAUUCUUCCAGAGCUGAAUGUAAAUUUUCUUCCCCCAACUUCUCAAGGCAUUUACCUAACACUGCUGCAUCAGCUAUGGCCAUGUUUGUGCUUCUUGCACAGUGAGGGGUUAUGGGAUGAGCCGCAUCUCCAAUAAAGACCACGUUGUCGCAGUAUACUUGUGUCAAAUGGUCGCAAUCAUAAAUAAGGUUCAGGAAAGGCUCCUUUGUUUCUUUUAUGACUCUUGCAAGCUCAGGAACGCAAAUCUCCUCUACUUCUUGGUGCAUCUUCUUGAUCAUGUCACUGCUCACUUUCAUUGUAGCUGAACCUCCCUGAAAUUACUUAAUUAAUUAAUUGAAGCUAGCUCUGCUAACACGUAUGCAUAUAAAUGGUAAAAUGAAGCAAGUUAGGCAAUCACCUUGAGUUCAGGCUCAGGUUGAGUGAUAUACCAAAUCCAAUUGAGCCUCUUGUACAUAAGCUCAUAAAGGACGGUGUGAGUUCCAGGGCCCAAGCCCGCGUGCACGCCAUUCCCAAGCUCAGGAUAUGCCCUUCCGGAUGCCUUGUAUGGUUUCAGAAUUCUCAUUUUCCGAAAAAUCAAAAACACCCCUCCAAGCACAGUAACCUGUAUACCUGAAAAACAGAAAUGAAAAAUAAACCGUAAAUUUCAAGACAACCGAAAAUAUGAAAAUAUAAUAUAAUUUGGUCAGAAACCUGAGUUUAGAGUCUGGUAAAAAAGUCUGGCGAACUGAUGAGCGGCUCCCGUCAGCUGCAACCAGCGAAUCUCCAACUACGUCGAUGAUCUCAUCAGUUCUAAGAUUCUUAGCUUUGACAUUGACGGUUGAUUUGUCGUGAGAAAUGCAGAAAGUGAGGUACAAGUGACCCCAAAAAACUAUUUCGACAGGCAGAGUAUUGUAUAUAAGACCAUGAAGAUCAGUCCAAUGUGCCACUAUAAUGUGUAUAUGCAUACAUUACCUGAUCAAUGGUGAGAGGUAAGGUGAUGUUGUGAAGAAGAUCAGGUUGAUGGAGCCAUGACUUAACUAUUUUCUCGGACAAUGGAUGAAGUGCGAUUCCAGCGCCGGUUGGGUUUCCGGUUUGAGGUCCACGUGUCUUCUCGAUCACCACCACAUCCCAACCUGCUAAAAUAAGCGCUUUUGCGCAUGAUAUCCCUGCUAUGCUUCCCCCAACUAUUAUAGCUUUUGGCUUCCGCAUCCUCUCCCUCAUGUCUCUCUCUUCCUCUCAAACACCAGUAUGUGUGACACAAAGGGACGCUCGCGCAUAGAUAUAUUUAUAGACAGGGGAAAACUUCCCAUUCUGAAUUCAUAAAACAGGAAGAGCCGGCAAUCAUAUGAACAUUUUUUUAUAUUAUUGUCAAAAAAUUUUUAUUCUAUUGUUAAUUUGACUCGGAUUUUAAUAAAAUUUAACAUCUCGAACCAAGUCACUACUCUAGAGAAAAAUUUCAAGAUUAUAUCUGUUGAUUCCGGUAGGGCAGGAGUCUCAUGCAGAAGUUUCUCAUCUAUUUUCUUACCAGAACAAAUUUCUAGUCAAAAUGAGGGUGUGAAAGGAGGAUAAAUAGACGAAAUUUGGCCCACCACUUCAUUCUUCCUAAAUGAAUAGCUUUUUACCCUAUUAAACGAGGAAAAAUGGAUUAGAUUCUCCCUUAAUUUGAUCUGAUUAGUGAUUACUAAAUAAAGACCACACUUUAUUGUAGUGUGUUUCGUCAUUUAAUACAUUGAAGUUUGUAUGUGGCCCUAGUUUAGUUGGGUAUUAGAUCACUUAAUUGGAAAGGGACUUCCUUAAUUAUUUUUCAAAAGCACAUCCUAUAAGACUCCAACAGAUGGAGUCCAAGUUCUAGAAUAGAUGAAUAAAUUAUGUCAAUUAAAUGGCAAUAGCCCACCAAAGAAGACAGAGAAACAAGUUAGGAGAGAUUCCAGAGUAUACCAAAAGUAUUUCAUCUAAUUAAUAUAUAUAUAUAUAUAUAUAUAUAUAUAUAUAUAUAUAUAUGUUAUGUGUGUAUUUAUUUUAAAAAAUUAUUAUGUAAUUAAUAAUUAUAUUUAAUUGAACUAUACUUAUUAUAUAUGUAUUUGUUAUAUGUAGCACCUAUAUUAUACUCUAGAAUUUCUCACAAGAUAAUAUGUCAAUAUACCACAAACACAAAGUUUGAAUCCUGUGAAAUAUGUUUAAAAUUGACUCUUGUAGAAAUUAUUAUGUGGUGGUGAAAUGAUUAUGAUAAAUAAUAUAUUAACACGUGUCAAUAUAUAAUUAUGCUACAUCAAUGAGGGUACCAUUGGUAUCACAUUUUUGUUUUACGUCUUAACUUUUGUAUUGACAAUAUUAGUUUUGUAUUAUAUAUAUAUAUAACUACUAAGUUAUUUUUUGCAAUCAAUAAAUAUCUAAUAACUCAAUACUUCUAUAUUUAUGCUCAUAAAAUUUGUACUUUUUAAAUAAAUAUUAAAAUAUCUUAAAAAUAAUAAAUUAUAUUUUUUAACACUAAUUAAAACAAAUAAUUUUCACAUUUAAUCUUGUUUUAGUUUAUAACAUGGACCAUUCGCUCACCACUUGGCAUAACUUUGUAACCUAGGUCCUGCUUGGAAUCGAAGUAUUAUACCUUUUAAGUUACGACUGCCGUAAAAAAGUUGUAAUUAUAAAACAAAAAAUUAAUAGCUGUGAACUUAAUGAUUGCUUACUAAACUUUAGGCAUUUAUUUAUUUAAUUAAUUGUCUAAAAUUUACUUGUUAAUGUUAUUGACAAUACUUAUAUAUUGAUUAAAAAGAUGAAGUAAGGUAUUGAUCUUAUUGAUCAACAAAAAUAUUUUAUCCUAAAUUGACAUAUUUGUGUAUUUAUUCUAAUGUUAAAACUUUAAUUUCUCAUUUAUGCGGAUAAAAUUUAGAAAUCGGUAUUAUAUGUAGAUUUUUAAGCUCCUAUUAUAAAUUUAUAGUUUGACUUAUAUAAUUUACUUUAUUUUUUGUGUUUUUAAAAGUAUUGUUUUAAUAUUUGUGAAGUAAAAACCCAUUGCAGGUUACACGAGGAUUUAGUAAUUGUUAAAACCUACAGCAGGUGAAUUUUUUUUUAAAUAAAAAACCCAUAGCGAGUUAAGAAUUUACUGAUUUAAUUACUUUUUACAAGUGCAUGUUUGAUAAUGAUAAAAUCACUGCACUGAAAGAAAUUCUAUGAAGAAUAUAAUUCUUGUUUUGUAUUUUUAAUGAAAUUUACAGAAUUAUUUAUACAAAAUAAAGACAAAGUAGCCGUUGAAAGGCUUAAUAAUAUUAAAGGAGAAUAAGUGAAUACUUCCUAAACUAUUGGACAAUAUCUUUAUAACAUAUGAAUGAAAUAUUCCUACAUGAUAUUGACAUUCAUGUGCAAAAAUCGUAGUGGAGAUAUUUCUUGACAAAUAACUUUGACGGGAGCAAGUCGUGUGGACUCCACAACUGUGGAGUGAUAAACCCGUUCUUGACUUGACCGUUAAUGACUUUCCUUUUGGUAAUCUUGGUCAGCUUGCUUAACAAGUGGUACCCAUAACCCAUCCAUACAGCUAGGCUAGCUAAACAGCAUAAAUAAAUGUAUAACGAUUCUUAUAUAAAAAGCCACCACCCCAAGCCAAAAGAAAAAAAAAAUUGUGCUGAAUACAACAAUAAAAUUUCUUCAGUUUUUACUUGGAAACAAGAGAGAUGAAUAUGAAGAAGCAGAAGCCAAAAGCUAUUGUAGUUGGAGGAAGCAUUGCUGGGGAAUCAUGCGCAAAAGCACUUGUUUCAGCAGGCUGGGAUGUUGUUGUGAUUGAGAAAACUCGUGGACCCCCAACCCAAAACCCAACCGGUGCUGGCCUUGGACUCGAUCCAUUGGCUCAGAAAAUUGUUCAGUCAUGGCUCCAUGAACCUGAACUUCUUUACAACAACACUUUACCUGUCACCAUUACUGAGGUAUAUAAUAUAAUAUAUUUAAUUUCUUUUUUCCCAGUAGAAUCCAGUAGUGCUUUGAAUUAUACUGAUCUCCUAAAGAUAUUAGUUGCACACGUGUAUAUACAAUGGUGUAUGGUUAAGAUUUGAUAAAAGUAUAUUUUGCUCUGCACAAAGUACAAUUUAGAAUGGAAUCUCAUUGGGAAAAAAAUAUCUAUAUAUGUUGAAUAGAUUAAAUUUCAAUUUGUGUUUAAUUGCAGAACCUAGCAACAGAUGGGCAAAAGAAGAUCAGCUGGGUAAUAGGAAGAGAAGAAGGCGCUAAGUAUCUGACAGCAUAUUGGGCUGAUCUUCAUGGCCUUAUAUACAAUACUCUGCCACCUGAAAUAUUUUUAUGGGGUCACCAGUACCUCUCUUUCUGUAUUUCUGAAGACAAAUUAACUGUCAAAGUUAGAGCUAAGGAUCUUGAGACUGAUGAAAUAAUCGAGAUAGUAGGAGAUUUGCUCGUCGGAGCAGAUGGGAUCCUCUCAUCAAUUGGUCAGAGCAUUCUACCUGACUUCAAAUUGAGGUUUGUGCUUGCUUGUGAAUGUCAAUAAAAGUAAUUAAUUUUUGAGUAUUUUGUUUCAUAAUUUUCAAUGUGUUUUUAAUAGGUACACAGGAUACUGUGCGUGGAGAGGUGUUUUUAAUUUUUCAGAAAACGAUUCAGAAACCAUCUUAGGCAUUCGAAAAUCGUAUCCUUAUAUUGGGAAAUGCCUUUACACGAAUAUUGGUUCAGGAUCGCACAUCAUACUCACUGAGCUUAAGAAAGAGAAGUUCAAUUGGGUUUGGUAUGUCAAUCAACCUGAGCCCGAGCUCAAGGUAACUGCUUACUUUUGUUUCAUCUUUUUAUUUUGUUUUCGGGGGUUUGGGUUGAGUGCUAAAAUCUAAUUUUUGCAAACGAUCAACACAGCUCAGACCAUCACCGGAUCCUUUUUUUUUUUUAAUUUUCCGGUUUAUCAAUGCAGUAUGACGUCACAUUGGGAAACAAAUUAUUUUAUUCUCUGCAGGGAAAUACAACUUCUGUGAAAGUAAGCAGUGACAUGAUCAAGGAGUUGCACCAAAGAGCAGAGCAGGUUUGGUUACCUGAAUUGUCAAGAAUGAUCAAAGAAACAAAGGAUCCUUUCCUUAAUGCUAUAUAUGAUUGCGAUCCUUUGGAGAAAAUCAUCUGGGACAGAGUGGUGCUAACAGGAGAUGCAGCUCACCCGACAACUCCACACUCUGCCAGAAGCACAAACAUGGCGAUAAUAGAUGCAGCAGUGUUAGGAAAAUGCCUCGAGAAGUGGGGGCCGGAUCAUUUAUACUCUGCUCUGGAAGAAUAUCAAUUCAUUAGGAAGCCUGUAACUUCAGCACAAGUUCUACAUUCGCGACGAUUGGGUCAAAUGAAACAGGGGUUAAGUAUUCCUGGAAGGGAGCGGCCUUUUGAUCCAAAGACAGCAAGUCUAGAGGACUCGGAAUUCAUCCUUAACAAAAAUGUGCCUCUUUUCGACGUUGUUCCUCCGAUUCUUGAUUCAAUUUUUCGUUCUGCUUGAUAAUUUUCAAGGGAGAAAGUAACAUUUUCAUUUUUAUGCAACAAAGUCAUCUAGAGACAAACCUUCUCUUGUGUUUUCACAGCUUUGGGGAAACUUCAAAGGACACGGCUUGGUCUGUUCAUUAUGCUAACUAUAGCUGCCUAUAAAUAAGAGGGUUGACCUCAAUUGUGUGAGUAAAAGAACUGCUAUACUUAUGUUCCUUCCUGUAAUAACGAAAGCCUCUUCCUUAAUUCAGUGUCUCUACUUCUUUAGCAAAAUAAAAUAAAUUCUUGAUCGAAAUACACCCAACUUUUCCAAUUUUCUUAUAAAAAUGACACCACAAUAGGAUGGGAUUGUCCUUGUGUUGUGUCAUUGAUCUAUUGAUGCAGCGGAAGUUUAAUGUUCAAAAUAUUCCGUUGCUGCAGUUUGGUAUUAGAGCUAAAACCUGGUCCACCAAUCUAACUCCAUCUACCACCAAACCUUUCCUUUUUUCCUUUUUUGUUUUUUUCCGUUUAGUUUAAAAAAAAACCCAAACAACACCAAAAAAGCAUAGAAAAAAAAAAGAAAAAAAUUAUAUCAUGAAAUCACAACAUCGACGUGAAGAUUUCAUCUUGAGAGAUGUUUUAAUUAAGAUGUUGAGGAUUUUACGUUUGAUUUCUCAAGAUUUAGAGAAACUUCGAGAUAGAAAAUCUUUACACAUAAAGCAGACAUAUGGAUUCGAUGAAGUUGUUCAUGAUGAUGUUUGUUAUGAGGAUAAUGAGGAAAAUGGUAACUUUGUUUCUCUCGACAAUAUUAUUCCUUCCAAAGAGAAUAUUAAUUGGCCAUUCGUGUCUACAACAAAUCCUCAAUACAAAGAUAUUAAUUUGGAUCAAUUGCCAUAAUUUGAUGAGUAUCUUGAUAUUAUAGGACGAGAAGAGGUAAUUGUUCAUCCAUCUUUUGAUCUUGUGGAGGAAAGAGAGAUAGUUGUUGAUACAAUCUCCUAUUGUUCUCUUGAUUUGCCAAAAGAAGACAAAAAGAGUUGUGAUAUUUUUCAACAAUUAGUGGAUUAUGAGAAGAAAUCGUUUUUCCUCAACUAUGUUGAAGUUCGACACGAACGAUACAAGAAAACAUUAUUAAAGAAGUUGUUGAUAGAAGAAUUUAUUUUACGCCAUUGGAGUGAUUGGAUGGACGUUAUUACAAAAGUUGGAAAAUUUAAAGUUCGUCGUCUAUGUCAAAGCUCUGUUUUAAAAAUUAAUCCUUAUGCACAUGAAGAUGUUCUUGAAGACUACAACAUACAAAAUUCGAGGACGAAUUUUCUCCAACCUAGCGGGAAUGAUGCAGAGCAAGAAAUUGAAGAAAUCCUAAUUAUAUUUAAAUGUAUAAUAUUUAGGAAUAUUUUAAUUAAUUUGUAUUAUAGUUUAAUUUGGUUUCCUAUUUAGAGUCUUAUUGUUUAGGUAUUGCUUAUUUGGGUAAUAUUCCUAAUUUAGGCAUAAGUCUUAUUAAAAUAGGUUUUCUAAUCAUAUUAGGAUAAGUCUUACUUAGUAUAAAUAAGUGUCUUUUGUAGCUUUUACAAGCAGAGAAUUUUGAGUUCAAUAAUAUUUCAAUUUUCAAAUCUCUUUGUGAGUAUUUGAACAGUUAAUUCUCGGUAUUCUGAAUCAACGAGUCUUAACCCCUAAGUUCGCGAUAUUCUUUUGAAUCAAUGUGAAUUUAGUUGUUCUUUUAUUCCGGUAUUCUCUAGAAUCAACGGAAUAUUUUGAACAUUAAACUUCUGCUACAUCAUAAGUUUCUUUUGUAGCUUUUACAAGCAGAGAAUUUUGAGUUCAAUAAUAUUUCAAUUUUCAAAUCUCUUUGUGAGUAUUUGAACAGUUAAUUCUCGGUAUUCUGUGGAAUCAACGAGUCUUAAUCCCUAAAUUCGCGGUAUUCUUUUGAAUCAACAUGAAUUUAGUUGUUCUUUUGUUCCGGUAUUCUCUAGAAUCAACGGAAUAUUUUGAACAUUAAACUUCUGCUACAUCAUAAGUGUCUUUUGUAGCUUUUACAAGCAGAGAAUUUUGAGUUCAAUAAUAUUUCAAUUUUCAAAUCCUUUUGUGAGUAUUUGAACAGUUAAUUCUCGGUAUUCUGUGGGAUCAACGAGUCUUAAUCCCUAAAUUCGCGGUAUUCUUUUGAAUUAACGUGAAUUUAGUUGUUCUUUUGUUCCGGUAUUCUCUAGAAUCAACGGAAUAUUUUGAACAUUAAACUGAUGGACGUUAUUACAAAAGUUGGAAAAUUUAAAGUUCGUCGUCUAUGUCAAAGCUCUGUUUUAAAUAUUAAUCCUUAUGCACAUGAAGAUAUUCUUGAAGACUACAACAUACAAAAUUCGAGGACGAAUUUUUUCCAACCUGGCGGGAAUAAUGCAAAGUAAGAAAUUGAAGAAAUCCUAAUUAUAUUUAAAUGUAUAAUAUUUAGGAAUAUUUUAAUUAAUUUGUAUUCUAGUUUAAUUUGGUUUCCUAUUUAGAGUCUUAUUGUUUAGGCAUUGCUUAUUUGAGUAAUAUUCCUAAUUUAGGUAUAAGUCUUAUUAAAAUAGGUUUUCUAAUCAAGUUAGGAUAAGUGAUGCAGCGGAAGUUUAAUGUUCAAAAUAUUCCGUUGAUUCUAGAGAAUACCGAAAUAAAAGAACAACUAAAUUCACAUUGAUUCAAAAGAAUACCGCGAACUUAGGGGUUAAGACUCGUUGAUUCAGAAUACCGAGAAUUAACUGUUCAAAUACUCACAAAGAGAUUUGAAAAUUGAAAUAUUAUUGAACUCAAAAUUCUCUGCUUGUAAAAGCUACAAAAGACACUUAUUUAUACUAAGUAAGACUUAUCCUAAUAUGAUUAGAAAACCUAUUUUAAUAAGACUUAUGCCUAAAUUAGGAAUAUUACCCAAAUAAGUAAUACCUAAACAAUAAGACUCUAAAUAGGAAACUAAAUUAAACUAUAAUACAAAUUAAUUAAAAUAUUCCUAAAUAUUAUACAUUUAAAUAUAAUUAGGAUUUCUUCAAUUUCUUGCUCUGCAUUAUCUAUCCAUAUUUGUUUUUCCCAAAACAAUUUCCAUGAAGGAGGAUGUUUUGCUGCUUGUUAGUGCACGCUAUUUAAGCACAAGACAUGAUUGAGAUUUAUGCAAGGUAUGUGGUAGAAUUUAUGUAAGACGACCGAUGAAGCUAAACAUGAGAGUUAGUAACUUUUACUGUGGUGAUCAACGCGUUGAAGAAAAAUUUUAGAAUUUUUAUUAUAAGUGGUGCAUACAAAAGUUGGUGAGUCGAACUUGUACUCAAAUACUAGCUCAUGUAUUAGGAGUUGCCUUAGGCUUAUGUUAUUAAUCUAGUAACUAAUAUUAGCGAUAUGAAAUAUUUUUUCUAUCAUCUUCCAUCACAUGUGUGUAGGUCAAUCUUUUUGUUUGGUCCUUGUCUUGUGAUAAGAUAGUGUGAGUGAUUUUGAGAGAAAAUAUGAAAAACACAAACAAUGAAAAUUCACUUUUACUUAAACUAAGACACAGAUUUUUUUACACUGAAGUUGAUAGAAGACACUCGAAUGCGCAGGAGUGAAAUCUUGACAAAUUAAAGCGAGAACUAAGACAUGCUAGUCCUUUCUCGCGCAUUUAGUUGACAUUAUUUUGCUUUGCAAAUAAAUGCGGGCAUGGUUGAAGGCAUUUUAUCUUUUCGGAAGUGGAUGGAGAAAUAAAUAUAAUUAAAAGGGAUGCGAAUAAUAAAUGCCAUUUUUCUUAAUAACGAAGAAGAAUAUAUUAGAAAUAAAUUGAAAUGUAACAAAAUACUUGAAAUAAUUCAAGUGGUGGGUUUUUUCUUUGUCAAUAACGCCCGAUAGUUCCUUGUUUUGAAGAAAGCUCAUUGUGCUGAACUGAGAAGAGAGAAGAAGCCAUAAAUUAAAAUGCGUCAACAAUGCCACGUCAACAAUGUUGAGUCAGCUGAUUCUGUUAAGCAGCAAUGAGAGUUCACGUGUAUUGCUGUUAGUUAGUAUUAGCCAGUCUCUUACUGAUUAGUUAACUAUUUUUCAGUGUAAUACAAAUUAGUUUGUUAUAGCUUUUACUAAUAAACAUGUAAGUAUAUAAAGUUUGUAAGAACUACUCAUUUUUAACUAAUGAAUUAGAUCCAGAAUAUUCAUAAACUUUCUCUCUGUUUUCUCGAUAACCAAACAGCAUUUUCAAUUCAUUUUACAUGGUAUCAGAGCCAGAAAUAUGGCAAGCUCAAGCAAUCCAAACACAGCAAACAUGAAUCAAUCAAUACAAACUACCUUUUCAUUCAUUACGCCAAUCAAAUUGGAUAGAUCCAAUUAUAUGCUCUGGCGAAAUCAAGUAUUAGCUUCUAUAAGAGGAAACAGACUUGAAGGCUAUAUCAAUGGAGAAAAAGCAGCACCUACUCAGUUUCUUACUUCUGGAAGCUAUGCUGAAACAAUGGGAAGAGUUACACAACAAGUUGAAAAUCCAGAAUAUACGAUCUGGAGGUCACAGGAUCAGACAUUACUAAGCUGGCUAUUAAGCUCAAUUACUGAAGGUAUCCUCAGUCACGUUCAUUCUUGUAAUACUGCAUAUGAUGUGUGGAAAACAUUGGAGAAAAAAUUUGGUGCAAAAUCUGAAGCUAGAGUUCUUUAACUCAAAUAUAAGAUGAGUGUUUUGAGGAAAGAUUCGCUAAAUGUAGAAGAUUAUUGUUUGAAAAUGAAACAAAUAGAAGAUAAGUUAGCAUGUGCUGGUAGUUCAGUUUCUGACAAAGAUCUGUUACAACAAAUCCUUAAUGGUCUUGAACCAGGCUAUCUAGAUUUAGCAACUUUCAUUACUGCUAGUAAAUUAGAUUUUGAUGAUGCAUAUGCAUUGCUACUCACACAUGAAACAAGAUUGGAAUAGAGUCUAAAUGAAAAACAUAUGUUAAAUGCAAAUCUUGCUAAUGUUUCUCAUAAUAAUAGUAGCUAUGGUAUGAUGAAUGUUUAUUAUGCUCAAGCAAGAGGUAAUGCUCGAAGAGGUGGAUAUAAUGGAGGAUUUCAUGGUGGAAAUCAAUUUGGAAGGAACAAUUUUCAUACUGGAAAGGGAAUGUUUGUCAAUUCUCAUCCAAGAGGCUUUCCUUCUGGAUCUGGAAAUUUUGGUAAUAAUCUUGGUAGAGGUCAAAUGGUUGGAAACAAUAAUAAGCAGGCACAAUUCAUGAGAGGACAAUAUAGUGCUAACUCUAGUUUGUCAAAUUCUGAUGGUAAUGAUGAACAAGCUGUUGUCUGUCAAAUCUGCUUUAAAUCUGGACACACAGCAGCAGAAUGUUGGCAUAGAUUUGAAGAAAACUAUAUGCCUCAACACAUGAAAAGAGGAAGAAAUCAGAGAUCAUCUUAUAUGACAUACUUUAAUGCACCUACUGAAGAUUCAUGGCCUACUGCAGCUGCUUAUUCAGGGAUACCUCACAUGUAUAAUCCACCAUGUUCUUCAUACAUAUUUGAUUCAAUGAGCUUACCUGUGAAUGGAGCUGGAGCUGCUUAUGUUGCUAACUUUGAGGGACCAGCAGAUGAAGGAUGGUAUCUUGACAAUGGAGCUACACACCAUCUAACAAACAAUAUGGCAAAUAUGCAUGUCAGCAAUGAGUUCAGAGGUAAUGACAAGCUUAUCAUUGGUGAUGGUAAAGGUAUGUCAAUCACACAUAUUGGUAAUACCAAUCUUCCAGUUCAAAGCUCUAAAACACAAUCUGCAUAUACAUGCAUUGCACUCAAAGAUAUACUGCUUGUUCCAUCUAUUACAAAGAAUUUAAUAAGUGUUUCCAAACUCACCACUGAUAAUGACUUAUCUGUUGAAUUCCUUGGAUCUGUUUACUUUGUGAAGGAUAUACUGAAGGGGAAAAUUCUGCUACAGGGUAUUGUUGAGAAAGGUUUAUACAAAUUGCAGCUGAGUUCAUCACCACAAUCUACAUAUACCUCUUUUCUAUCCCAAAGUUCAAUAAAUAAACCUGUAUCUAUGCUAUCUCAGUGUUAUCUUAGCACUUCAGUUAAUAGUCUUUGUUCUGGAAAAUGUUUUCAGUCAAAUAAGAAUACUUGUAGCACUGAUUCAUUCAAUAAAAUGUCUUUACUUCACAAAAGAUUUGGUCAUCCUAAUACUCAAAGUCUACUUCAUUUACUUAAGCUUGUGCAUCCCAAUUUGUGCUCUACAAAUAUUGUUAAUCAAGCAACAAAGCAUUUCUGUGAAGCAUGUCAGUUGGGAAAAUUUCAUAGGCUUCAUUUUCCAAUCACUGAUAUCAAAUCCACAGCAGCACUAGAACUUGUUCAUACUGAUCUAUGGGGUCCCUCACCAGCAUGUUCUAGAGAUGGUUUUAGAUAUUACAUUAGUUUUGUUGAUGAUCACACUAGAUACACCUGGAUUUAUCCUUUGAAACUUAAAUCAGAAGCUCUAGAAGUGUUCAAACUAUUUAAACUUCAAGUUGAAAAUCAAUUUCAAACUACUAUCAAAAUUCUACAAUCUGACUGGGGGGGAGAAUACAGACCAUUUACUUCCUUCCUAAAUGAGUGUGGCAUUCUUUUUAAACAUUCUUGUCCUUACACUCACCAUCAAAAUGGACUUGGUGAAAAAAAACACAGACAGAUUGUAGAAUUAGGACUGACACUUCUAGCCCAAGCCAAACUUCCUUUUCAAUUGGUGGGAUGCUUUUCAUGCCUCAGUCUAUCACAUUAAUAGACUCUCUACUUCUGUACUUAAGAUGUCUACUCCAUAUAAAAAGCUUUAUAAACACAAGGCUGAUUAUAACAUGCUGAAAUGCUUUGGAUGUGCUUGUUAUCCAUAUAUGAGAGAUUACAAUAAGCAUAAGUUUGACUAUCACACAACCAAGUGCAUCUGUCUUGGUUAUAAUCCAUCUCAUAAAGGCUACAAGUGUUUUCACCCAUCUGGUCAUAUAUAUAUAGCUAGGCAUGUUGUCUUUGAUGAACACUCAUAUCUAUUUGCUUCAGAUCCUAGCUUUCAUUCUUCAAAUAAAUCUAAGUCUGAUACACAUUGCACAAUUACUCCUAUACAAGUUUUUCAGUUGUCAACAUUACCUGUCAUAUCAGAUUUUUCAGUCACCAGCAAUGAAUCUUUCUCUCAAGCAUACUCCAGUGGCAACAUUUUCCCUCCAACAGUAGUCUUAACACAUGCAAAUAGUUUAGACUAGCAACCCUCACACACAAAUAGAAAUAAUCCAUCUGCACCUACAAUGUUACCUUCUGUACCUGAUACAACACCAGAUCAGCCUUCAGAUGAAAAUUCACAAAACCAACAUAAUAAUAAUACCUCUCAUCUCAAUCAAACAGUGGUAACCUCAUCAUCAUUAAACCAACAUCCCAUGAUCACUAUAGGAAAAGCAGGUAUUUUUAAGCCAAAGAUAUAUGCUGCAGUAUUGUUACAUAAAGAACCAGACACUGUUCAGGAGGCUAUCAAUGAUGAGAGAUGGUUUCAAGCAAUGAAAGCUGAAUAUGAUGCACUAAUGUCAAAUGGUACCUGGACACUUGUGCCAAGAACAGAAGAUCACAGACUUGUUGGCAACAAAUGGGUGUUUCGAGUAAAAUCAAAUACUGAUGGAAGUGUUGCAAAAUAUAAGGCAAGGUUGGUUGCUAAAGGAUUCCAACAAAUAGAAGGGGUUAACUACUUUGAGACUUUCAGUCCAGUGGUGAAAGCAGCAACAGUUAGAGUGGUCCUAAGCCUAGCAGUAAUGAAUCAGUGGUAGAUAAGACAGGUUGAUGUGAAUAAUGCAUUCUUAAAUGGAGAUCUAAUUGAGGAGGUAUAUAUGAGUCAACUAGAAGGGUUUAUUGAUUCCAAAAGACCUGAUUUUGUGUGCAAACUUCACAAGGCACUUUAUGGUUUGAAACAAUUUCCACGAGCAUGGUUUGACAAGCUGAGAAAUAGUCUUAUGCAAUGGGGAUUUGAGAAUUCUAAGUCUAACUCAUCUUUGUUCUUGAAAAAGAAUAAAAGAUCAAUUAUUUUAAUCCUGAUAUAUGUAGAUGACAUAUUGAUUACAGGAUCAAGUUGUGAUGCGCUGGAAGAUUUUAUCAAGCUAUUCAGUUCUGCAUUUGCAUUAAAGGAUCUGGGAAAGCUAUCUUAUUUUCUUGGAAUAGAAGUUUUGUAUGAUCUUGAUAGUGUGUAUCUGUCACAAAGGAAGUAUAUUAGAGACUUGUUGGCUAAAGUUGAUAUGCUCGAAUGCAAAGGAAUAGAUACACCAAUGAGCAGCAGCAAAGAUUACAGAUUGCAGAAGAAUGUUGAAGGAGAAAUAGGUUACUACAUACAAUAUCCAUCUCAUUACAGAAAGCAUAGUAGGAGGUCUUCAGUAUCUAGUUUUGACAAGACCUGAGAUUGCCUACUUUGUUCAUAAGUUAAGUCCGUAUGUAUUGCUGCGUAAAUUAGCAAGUGUACUAGUCGGCACAAGUAAUAUAAUGAAGAGUAGAGUAUCGUCCCACAGAGAUUGUAUAUCCUAUUAGUUACCGAAAUUAUUCCAACCCUAAUUUAUUUGAACAAUCGAAUAAAUGAAUUUAGAUUAAAAUUAAAUAAAAUAAAACAAUUAAAAAUUAAAUAAAGAUGUAGACAGUAAUAGAAAUCACCAAGAGAUUAAAACACUAGGACAUUUGAUUUCACCAUAACCAAUCCAAUUUAAUCCUCCAUCUAUGCUAUUAAAAUUGAUUACCCAUGUUGACAGUGAAUUUCCCUAAUUUAUUCAAUAUCCUCUCUCGAGUAAUAUCAAAAAUAUCUCCACAUAUCAACCCACUAUAUCUCUAUGUGAAUUUGAAUAUGCAAAGAUUCAUUAAGCUCUAUGAAAAUUCUUAGAUAAAACUGCACGAAUCACGUUGGCACAUCUCUGUCUUUCGUUCAAUUCAUGGCAUCCAUUACACAGAGCAAAAAUACAUAAAUCUCCUCUCGGUCUCAUUAUGUAUCCUCAAAUCAUUCAAAUAUUGGCCAGAUAUUUAAAAGCAUUAAGCACAAUAAUGAACACUCAAUCAUGGAAUAAUUAAUUAAAAAUAACAUAGAUUUAUGGAAUUAAAUCUUCAUAGUUAGGCUACAUCGUAGCCCUAGUAAAAUAAAUUAGUUCAUGGAAAUAUAAAGAGAAUCCAUUAAUUUAAUUGGAAACAUUCAAGCAAGAUAAUAGAGAAGAGGAAAAGAAAAACUCAAGAAUUAAUGUGUCUUCCUCCUGCUCCAGAUUAUUCCUGCUGCUCUCGGUUUUGCUCAAAACUUGCGGCUGCCUUUUUCUAUCUCCUUUCUCUUGGCUUCUUAUUAUUCUCCUUGUGCGGCUGCCUUUCUUCCCUUUUAUAAUGUUGUGGUUUCUUCCAAAUCCUUAAAGGAAAAGGAUUGCAAAUCCAGCCCACGAAUCCUUAAAUGAAAAUAAUUAAAAACAAAAGCCCAACCGCCUAUUUCAUUCCUAAGCCAAUCAGAAUUAAAAGCAAAAGCCCCUCCACGUGUUGCAUGCCAUAUUUGUCUUUGUAAAUGAAUUCUUCAAUGCUUCCUCACGUGCAUGCAUGCUUAAUGAUUAAUUAAAUUAAAUCCUUUGUGAUUUGUUCCAAUUAAUUCUCUUUAUUUCUUUAUUGUACCUAAAAUAAGAAAAUAUAAAAAUUAAGAUAAAAUUAACAUAAUUAAAUAUAAUUUAACAUAAAAUUAAGUUAUGGAAGCAUUAAAAUAAUAGAUUAAUAUUAGCACAUCAUGUAUCUUCACCAACACUUCAACAUCUUAUGGCAUGCAAACGUGUGCUUAGAUAUUUGAAGGAAACACAAGAUUAUGGGCUGAAAUUUGUUAAGGAAGGUGAGCUAAAGGUUAUAGCAUUUACAGAUGCAGACUGGGGAAGUGAUCUUGAUGACAGAAGAUCCACUGGUGCCUAUUGUGUGUAUCUAGGAAACAACUUAAUCUCAUGGUCCUCAAAGAAGCAAUCUGUAGUUACAAAGUCUUCUGCAGAGAGUGAAUACAGAGCGCUUGCAGCUGCUGUUUCAGAGAUAACAUGGUUAAAAUCUUUAUUUCUUGAGAUUGAUCUAUGUUGUGUGGAGAAACCAGUUAUAUGGUGUGACAAUGUGAGUGCUAAAGAACUUGCUUAUAAUCUAGUGUUUCACUCAAGAACAAAACACAUAGAAAUCGAUCUGCAUUUUAUCAGAGAUAAGGUUCUAGCUGGAGAUCUUAAGAUUCUCUAUAUUCCUAGUGCAGAGCAGAUAGCAGACAUAAUGACUAAGCCCUUAAACUCUCCUCAAUUCAUUUAUCUGAGAAACAAACUCAAUGUGCAUUUAUGCCCCUUGAGUUUGAGGGGGGCUGUGAAGAAAGCUCAUUGUGCUGAACUGAGAAGAGAGAAGAAGCCAGAAAUUAAGAUGCAUCAGCAAUGCCACGUCAACAAUGCUGAGUCAACUGAUUCUGUUAAGCAGCAAUGAGAGUUCACGUGUAUUGCUGUUAGUUAGUAUUAGCUAGUCUCGUACUGAUUAGUUAACUGUUUUUUAGUGUAAUACAAAUUAGUUUGUUAUAGCUUUUACUAAUAAACAUGUAAGUAUAUAAAGUCUGUAAGAACUACUCAUUUUUAGUGUAAUACAAAUUAGUUUGUUAUAGCUUUUACUAAUAAACAUGUAAGUAUAUAAAGUCUGUAAGAACUACUCAUUUUUAACUAAUGAAUUAGAUCCAUAAUAUUCAUAAACUUUCUCUCUGUUUUCUCGAUAACCAAACAGCAUUUUCAAUUCAUUUUACACUUGUCAUGAGCUUCUCAUCUUCUGUCUUGAAGGAAGAAAUUGCAAAAGACGAAUAAAACGAUUUCCUUUACACAUUCAAUCAAUGCUGCUGCCUUCAUAUCUUUAUUAUUAUCGGAGGGAUGAUACUGUUGAGAGCCGAAACCAUUACCCAUACUCACUCCUCUUAUGGCCGUGUCUAACUCUCUACAAUAAUUUCGAUAUUUCUGUUCUUCAGUUCUUCCACUACUCAACAAAUGCGAAGGUUUGCGAUGGCUCCACUCAUUCAAGUUGAUUUUACAUUUGUUACAAUCUACUCCCGCCAUUGCUAGAGCCUCUAUGGACAUGUUUUAACAAGGUGAAGGAGAAGCUAAAUAAAAUUCACAAUUUGCCUGAAAGUUUACAGCUUCCAGGAAAUUCACCACCUCUAUAGAAUUGUAAUAACAAGAAUUGUGGUCUCCGUAAAAGAAUUUAUAAGAGUUAAUAUAAAAGAUUUGUUUAGGAGAAUGAAUUUUAUACGGACUAGAAAUACUCAUGAUUAAUUGGUUAUUCAGAUGGUUUAGAAAUCCUCUCGAUAUUAGGAAGCCAUUUAAGAUUCUGAUUAUUGUUGUUCUAAAUAUAUUAGUUUGCACCAACUUCCAAUUCCACAAUUACUCUGACAGCGGUUUUCACGGACUUAUUUAUGUAUCUGAAUCUUUUUAUUCAUGAAAGAAUAAUCUCUUGCAAACUCACAACUUCAAUUAUGAAUCAACUAGCUAGCAACCAUUUCUUUACUUUUAAUUGCUUUGGAAAUUAAGGAUUCGUCAGCCGCCAGAUUCUGCAGUGAUUCUGUUGCAUUCAAUUAUUUGUUGAACUAUUUAUGCACGAGUGGAGGAGGAAUUCUAGAAUACAUUUGAAAUAAUACAAUCAACCAAUGCAUGCACACCACUUGUAUGGAGAUUUUUCAAAAAUAAAUGCACACAUGUCAUAACAUUAUCUACUUGUUAUAUGACUGACAUGAUAUGUUUUAUGUAUUCUAAAAUUUUCCUGAGUGGAGACCAUGAGUGGUAACAUCCACGUGACAAGAGAGUAUUACAAAGAGAUAGUCUCUUGUCAAUUUGAAUAUUUAUUGUAUUGAAACUACUAAGUAUAUAAGCUCGGACAACCCUAAUUUCAUGAUGAGGGGUUAAAGACAAUACUAUUCUAAAAGAAAAUGGAACGAAAUCGUCCAUCCAUAGCCAUUAUUUGACUUUUAGAUUUGCCCUUCCAAAUUUUAACAAAAUGCGCAGACGAUUUUUAAUUUAUUCAUGUGAACGAAGUACAACAAAAUUAUUGAACCAAUCAGAACCAAGAUGGAAAUGAUCAUAAGCAAAAGUAAUUUGCAAGGACGAAUGGAAGCAGAUAAAUUAUUCUAAUUAAGAGACUAAGUGCAAGUGAAAUAACUGUAGCACUGAUUAUUCGAGUAUGGAGGGAACGUCGUCGAAGAAGGGUAAACUUCUCUGUUUCAGGAUUUCACAAUCCUCAGGACUUGCUGUGUUUGGAUCAAAAGGCUCACGAUCAGGGGGAGGUAAGCCAAGUUUCAUUUGACCCACUCGCCGCGAAUGCAGGACUUGCUUGGUAGUGACAGGUAGCCUAACAGAUUGAUGUUCUUCCAGAGCUGAAUGUAAAUUUUCUGGCCCCCACCUCUCAAGGCAUUUACCUAAAACUGCUGCAUCAGCUAUGACCAUGUUUGUGCUUCUUGCACAGUGAGGGGUUAUGGGAUGAGCCGCAUCUCCAAUUAAGACCACAUUGUCCCAGUAUAUUUGUGUCAAAGGGUCACAAUCAUAUAUAAGGUUAAGGAAAGGCUCCUUUGUUUCUUUUAUCACUCUUGCAAACUCAGGAACCCAAAUCUUCUCUGCUUCUUGGUGCAUCUUCUUGAUCAUGUCACUGCUCACUUUCAUUGUAGCUGAAUCUCCCUGAAAUUACUUAAUCAAUUUAUUAAAGCUAGCUCUGCUAACACGUAUGUAUAUAAAUGAUAAAAUGAAGCAAGUUAGGCAAUCACCUUGAGUUGAGGCUCAGGUUGAGAGAUAAACCAAAUCCAAUUGAGCCUCUUGCACAUAAGCUCAUCAAGGACGGUGUAAGUUCCAGAGGCCAAGUCCAUGUGCACGCCAUUCCCAAGCGUGGGAUAUGCCUUCCGGAUGCCUUGUAUGGUUUCUGAAUUCUCAUUUUCCGAAAAAUCAAAAACCCCCCUCCAAGCACAGUAACCUGUAUACCUGCAAAACAGAAAUGAAAGAUAAACCGUAAAUUUCAAGACAACAGAAAAUAUGAAAAUAUAAUAUAAUUUGUUCAGAAACCUGAGUUUAGAGUCUGGUAAAAAAGUCUGGCGAACUGAUGACCGGCUCCCGUCAGCCGCAACCAGCAAAUCUCCAGCUAUGUCGAUGACCUCAUCAGUUUUAAGAUUCUUAGCUUUGACAUUGACAGUUGAUUUGUCGUGAGAAAUGCAGAAAGUGAGGUACAAGUGACCCCAAAAAAAUAUUUCCGGAGGCAGAGUAUUGUAUAUAAGACUAUGAAGAUCAGUUCAAUGUGCCUGUAAAUAGUUGAAAUUUUCAUCUCUAGCUAGUAUCCGACAGAUGUUCUUUUCCUGAUCUACUGCCCGAUUCUGCACAGAAAGAAAAAUAAAAAAAAAAUCAGCACAACUUGUGGGAACAUCAGUUGAAAUUAAAGCAGUUCUGUGUAGACACAUACAUUACCUGAUCAAUGGUGAGAGGUAAGGUGAUGUUGUGAAGAAGAUCAGGUUGAUGGAGCCAUGACUUAACUAUUUUCUGGGACAAUGGAUGAAGUGCGAUUCCAGCGCCGGUUGGGUUUCCGGUUGGAGGUCCACGUGUCUUCUCGAUCACCACCACAUCCCAACCUGCUAAAAUAAGCGCUUUUUUGCUAUGCUUCCCCCAACUAUUAUAGCUUUUGGCUUCCGCAUCCUCUCACUCAUGUCUCUCUCUUCCUCUCAAACACCUGUAUGUGUGACACAAAGGGACGCUCGCGCAAAGAUAUAUUUAUAUACAGGGGAAAACUUCCCAUUCUGAAUUCAUAAAUCAGGAUGAGCCGGCAAUCAUAUGAACAUUUUUUUAAAAUAAUUAUUUUAAAUUUUUUUUAUACUAUUGUUAAUUUGACUCUCGAACCAAGUCACUACUCUAUAAAUUUUUUUCAAUCUGAACUUAUAUAUUCCAAUUCAAGAACAAGGUUUAAUAAUGUAAUGACCGUGAAAACUAUUAGACCAUAUGGUUUAACAAUGUAAUGAUAUUAUACUAUAAAAUCCUUUAAUAACUUUUUGAAUUGUAAUAAUAUUCAGGAUUCUAAACUAGAUCAGUACUAUAUACACACACAUACACAGGCGGUGCCAUGAAUUAUUUUUAACAGGCUCUAAGUUUAAAUAGUAAUUUAAUUUAAAAAAUUAAUUAACAAAUAACAUAUAUCAAAAUAAAAAUUUAUUAAAAUAUUUAAUUCAAUACACUUAUAAUUGUUCUUGACUUCGUUUUAUAUGUUAAAAACAUUAAAGAAUAAUCUCAUUAUCAAGACUACAAAAUAUGUCUUUUUCUAUUUAUAUAACAAAUCUAUCGUUUAACUAUUGUUCUCCCAUUUGAUUUCACAGAUGAUUUUUUAUCAAAUUUAUAGUUGAAAAUGCCCUUUCUACUGUAUCUCUAGUAACUGGUAAAAUCAAUACUAAUAUCACCAAUAAAUAAACUAAUGAAUAUAAUUUACCUUUCUUAGUCUCACCGCAUUGUUAUUUUAUUAUUUAUUUGAAAACUGAUAAUAAAUUAUGAUUAAAUAUGUUCGCAGCAAUUACAAAGUCUUGAUACAAUGUUUCUAUCUCACAUGAUGACGUAACAUCAAUAUCGAUGAUCGCUAAUUAGGGAUUCCAUUAUCCUAUUUUCCCUCUCACAUGAUGAAUAAAUAAACAGUUUUAAAAUCUCGCGUCACCCAAUGUCUAGAAUGUACCCGGAGGCCGCAGCCUCAAAAGUAGUCAAAUUAAAUUCAAACUCUACAAACUCAAUAACAUGAUUACGUCUUAUUCUUUCUUAAUUGAAGUUGAUUUUUCAAGGAGGCAAUUUGUCCCGUCGUAUGCAGCCAAGUUAGAACGAAAAAAUGCUUAAUUAAAAUCUUACGAUCUUGAAGAAACCUUUCUAAUCAAAAUAAAUUCUCAAGUCAGAUUUUUCAAUCUGGCGAUAUGGAAUUUGCCUAAUAAAACUCUACAUUCAAACAUCACGCUUAUGAAACCCUUGCAUUCAGAAUAAAUUCUUGCGGUAUAUAAAAAAAAAAAAAAUUCUUGCGGGUAAGGAGGAUCAAAUGCAAGAAAAAAGUUUGAUAAAAAUGAAUAAAAGGAAUAAGGUAAAAGGAUGAAUAAUUUUGGUAAAAUUAGGUAUCUUGUGAAUAAAAUUCAUUGAUGGUAUGUUUCCUAUGAAGUUUAUAGUAUGUGAUGAUAGCAUUCUUCUGUAGGUAUUCAGGUUAUUGUGCAUGGCGAGGGGUUCUUGAUUUUUCGGGGAUUGAGGAUUCAGAGAUCAUCAAAGGCAUGAGGAGGGUGUGUCCUGACCUGGGGAAAUGCUUAUACUACGACCUGGCAUCUGGAACUCACAGUGUGUUUUAUGAGCUUCUCAAUAAAAGGCUCAAUUGGGUUUGGUAUAUCAACCAACCUGAGCCCAUAAUGAAGGUGAUUGCUUUGCUUUCUCCCACUCGCGUGCAAUCUUUGUAUAUACUACUAACCAUGAACUGUACUUGACCUUACUUUAAGGGCCGCAGAGGUUUUGCUGUAAGUUGUUAGAACUAAAUGCUGAAUAAAACACUUAGCAUUCAUGAUGCUAGGACGCAGAUUUUUGUGAUGCUUUAGUUUAGUUUCAAAGUUUCUAAAUCUGAAUUUCUACUCACAUUAAGAAACCAUGUAUUUCUCACCUGGUAAAUUCAAUCCUACAUAUUGACUUCGAGGCAACAUAUGCUUCUGGGACCGCUGGACUUCACCUUCUGGGAUGAGCAGAUGACAAGGAGUUGCCACUAAUUACAGAUAGAUACGUUUCUUUUCCAAAUUACAUAUGUUAACCAGCCAGUUCUAAUUAUUAUUAUUUGGAAACUAUGUGCAGGGAAAUUCAGUAACCAUGAGAGUAAGCAAUGACAUGAUCAAGAACAUGCACGAAGAAGCAGAGAAGGUUUGGCUUCCUGAGUUUGUGAAGGUCAUUAAAGAAACAAAAGAACCUUUCAUAAAUGCGAUGUAUGAUUGUGAUCCUCUUAAACAAAUAUUUUGGAGUAACAUAGUAUUAAUUGGAGAUGCUGCUCACCCAACAACUCCUCAUGGUCUGAGAAGCACGAACAUGUCAAUACUAGAUGCAAUGGUCUUGGGAAAAAGCCUUGAAAAGUGGGGAGUGGAGGGUUUGCUUUCAGCUCUUGAAGAAUAUCAGACAGUUCGGCUACCUGUAACCUCAAAACAAGUCCUGCAUUCACGGCGACUUGGUCGAAUUAAACAAGGCUUAGCUCUUCCAGAUCGUGAACCUUUUAAUCCGAAGACAGCAAGUCCACGAGACUGUCAAUAGCUUCAACAGAAAACUAUGCCUUUCUUCGCAGACCUGCCUUCUCUGGUUGACUCAACAUUAUGCUCCACUUGACCUGGGAGAAGAUGAAGCAUGUUCCAAGCAACCGAAUAGUAGUUAAGUUUCAAUUCUUUACACUUAUUUACAUCAUACCCAACUUAGUUCUCAUUGUGUGUAGUCUAGUAGGAAUCUCGUGUUUGUAUAGAACUAUUGUAUCCUUGUCAUCGAUCUUUGUUUUAUUUUCAUUUAUCUUGUUAUGCAGGAAUAAACUUAAUUAUUGUGAUUAAAACAAAAAUUAUGAUCGGUUUCAUGUGCCUAUUAAAGCUAUAAGAAAUUAAACUUUUGAAUUCAAAAGGACAUCCAGCAAUUUGCCACGGGCUGGCGUAAGAGUUCUGACAUUAACAAGCCGUCAUUGUCCCAACUAACUUGAAGUUCUGUCUGGCAAUUCUUCAUAAUUUUUGACGAAAGUAAAAGCUAACAACUAACUUCAACAGAGUAAGCAUUCAAUGGUCGAUUAUUUUAAUAUUAUAUUCACUCCAUAAUUGAGGAUGAUAGUAUGAUACCAAAUGGUUGUGGCUCAGUUGGCAGUGUAGGCUGAGUUUGUGGGAAGAGCUAUCGGGUUCGAUCCCCACUAAACACACCAUUUGGGAGGAGUAAAGAGCUUUAAUUGUGACUAUACUCCGAAUCCGGAUUAAUCGAGGCCCAAUGCGGUCGCGGCACAUCGGAUGGUUUACAAAAAAAAAAAAAUUGAGGAUGAGUCUUUCUUUGUUAUUAUAUCAAUUGUUUUAUAAUUUUAAGAAGAUGAAUCAGCAUUGUAAGCCAUCAUUUUCAUUUAUAAUAAGAUUUAAUAUACAAAAUGACUGGUGAGGUACCACCAUACCAGGCGGUGCAUGGAAAGAUGGGGAAUUUGGGACUUCCAGUGCGGCGAGAGACUGAGCAUGAGGGUGCUGCAGCGGCUGGGCAUCACUUAUGAGGUAGCUACUUAAUGACCUGAUCAGUUGAGUUUUGGGGAAUUUGGAUUUUGGAUCAAUUAGUUAGGGAGUUGAGUGAGUUUUGUAACUUUAAGAAAAUAGAAUUUGACUGUAAUUAUUAGUUAUAUCUUUUACGAUAAGUUUUAAUAAGAGUAAAUUUACAAUUAACUAUUAUUAUUAAAAAAAAAAAAACCUUAGCCUCCUCUUACCUCCGCCCUUGGUACCUGCUAAAACCAAAUACCCAAAUUAUGAAAACGAAGAGCGAGACGAUAUGUUACUGGAUUGUUAUCAAAAUUUGAAGCUAGAACUUAGCAAUUGCCCAAAGAUAAAGAUUUGCUAAGAUUUUAGACCCACAGACUUUUUAGUACCAAUUUAUCUUCUUUCCUUUAAGAAUGAUGGUGAUUUGUAGAGCCAUGCCCUGUAUUCAAAAUAAACAAAUUUGAAGAAUAUAUCUGUUGAUUCCGGUAGGGCAGGAGUCUCAUGCACAAGUUUCUCAUCUAUUUUCUUACCAGAACAAAUUUCUAGUCAAAAUGAGGGUGUGAAAGGAAGAUAAAUAGACAAAAUUUGGCCCACCACUUCAUUCUUCCUAAAUGAAUAGCUUUUUACCCUAUUAAACGAGGAAAAAUGGAUUAGAUUCUCCCUUAAUUUGAUUUGAUCUGAUUAGUGAUUACAAAAUAAAGACCACACACUUUAUUGUAGUGUGUUUCGUCAUUUAAUACAUUGAAGUUUGUAUGUGGCCCUAGUUUUAGAUCACUUAAUUGGAAAGGGACUUCCUUUUUUUUUUUUGAUACAUUGGAGUCUAGUAAAACUAGGCUAAAACAGAACGGGGAAUAGAGGUUUCAUAUAUAUCAUUACAUAAGUAAUAACCAAGACUCUCAGGGGGGUUUUCAAAGACAUGAAGUCUAAGGGGUAAGGAACCAGCAAGUUUCGCCAUGGAAUCUACAGCAAAAUUAGCUUCCCGAUAUAUAUACUUUAUAGGAAUGAGCCAUUGUCUAUUUAUCAGUUCCUUUAUGGCAGUUAUGAGAGAAAAAAUGUGCAUUAGGCAUCAAGCUAGUAGAGGAAAUAAGUUGGGAAACACAUUGGCUAUCCACCUCUGCAAUUAAAUAACGAAUGCCAUGGUCCCAAGCAAUAUUAAGUCCUUGAAAAAGACCCCAAAGUUCUGCAGUAGUCACCGAUCCAAAUCCAAUGUUCAUGCCAAAGCCAAACUGCCACUUUCCAGAGCAAUCCCUCACCAAGCCCCAGCGCUGGCUAGACCAUUCUUUAAUCGUGAUCCAUCAGUAUUUAAUUUGAAAAAAGAUUCAGGGGGAGCUUGCCAUCUAACAUCUUUGAUGAUCUUAUUACUCUGACCGAAACUAAGAGUUGAUCGUGCAUUUUGAAUGUCCUGAGCCCAAGAUUUAAUUUCAGCAACAACAUGAGUGCAACAAGGGGAUUUUUGUGAGAAAAGAAAUUGAUUACGCCAAAACCAAAUUUUCCAGAUAGCCACUCCAAAUUGAUUACGCCAAAACAACAUGAAUGCAGCAAGGGGAUUUUUGUGAGUAAAGAAAUUGAUUACUCCAAAACCAAAUUUUCCAGAUAGCCGCUCCAAAUAAACAUGCCCAUUCAUCCCACACUUCAUUGAUACCAGUCUUUCCCAAGUUGAAACAGAGCCAAUCACGAAGAUUAAAGGAGAAAAAUUGAUGUCUGAAGUUGACUGGAAUUAAACAAUUCCAUAUUCUCUUUGCAACAAAACAGUCCCUAAGUGCAUGCAUCGCGUUUUCUUUCUCAUGGCCACAUCUUUCGCAAUUCAUUUUAUCCAGAAUAUGCCUCUUAAAAAGCUCCUCUCUAGUUUUAAUUUUUCCAUGCAUCACCAACCAUAAAAGAAUUUAACUCGUUGGGGCCCGGAAAGGGACUUCCUUAAUUAUUUUUCAAAAGCACAUCCUAUAAAACUCCAACAGAUGGAGUCCAAGUUCUAGAAUAGAUGAAUAAAUGAUGUCAAUUAAAUGGCAAUAGCACACCAAAGAAGACAGAGAAACAAGUUAGGAGAGAUUCUAGAGUAUACCAAAAGUAUUACAUCUAAUUAAUAUUUAUAUGUUAUGUGUGUAUUUAUUUUAAAAAAUUAUUAUGUAAUUAAUAAUUAUAUUUAAUUGAACUAUACAUAUCAUAUAUGUAUUAGUUAUAUGUAGCACCUAUAUUAUACUCUAGAAUUUCUCACAAGAUAAUAUGUCAAUAUACCACAAACACAAAGUUUGAAUCCUGUGAAAUAUGUUUAAAAUUGACUCUUGUAGAAAUUAUUAUGUGGUGGUGAAAUUAUUAUGAUAAAUAAUAUAUUAACACAUGUCAAUAUAUAAUUAUGCUACAUCAAUGAGGGUACCAUCGGUUUCACAUUUUUAUUUUACGUCUUAACUUUUGUAUUGGCCAUAUUAGUUUUGUAUUAUAUAUAUAUAUAUAUAUAUAACUACUAAGUUAUUUUUUGCAAUCAAUAAAUAUCUAAUAACUCAAUACUUUUAUAUUUAUGCUCAUAAAAUUUUUACUUUUUAAAUAAAUAUUAAAAUAUCUUAAAAAUAAUAAAUUAUAUUUUUUUAACACUAAUUAAAACAAAUAAUUUUCACAUUUAAUCUUGUUUUAGUUUAUAACAUGGACCAUUCACUCACCACUUGGCAUAACUUUGUAACCUAGGUCCUGUUUGGAAUCGAAGUAUUAUACCUUUUAAGUUACAACUGCCGUAAAAAUUUUGUAAUUAUAAAAAAAAAAUUAAUAGCUCUGAACUUAAUGAUUGCUUCUAAACUUUAGGUAUUUAUUUAUUUAAUUAAUUGUCUAAAAUUUACUUGUUAAUGUUAUUGACAAUACUUAUGUAUUGAUUAAAAAGAUGAAGUAAGGUAUUGAUCUUAUUGAUCAACAGAAAUAUUUUAUAUUAGAUUGACGUAUUUGUGUAUUUAUUUUAAUGUUAAAACUUUAAUUUCUCAUUUAUAUUGAUAAAAUUUAGAAAUGGGUAUUAUAUGUAGAGUUUUAAGCUCCUAUUAUAAAUUUAUAGUUUGACUUAUAUAAUUAAAUUUAUUUUUUGUCUUUUUAAAAGUAUUGUUUUAAUAUUUGUGAAGUAAAAACCCAUUGCAGGUUACGCGAGGAUUUAGUAAUUGUUCAAACCUACAGCAAGUGAAUUUUUUUUUUUAAAUAAAAAACCCAUAGCGAGUUAAGAAUUUACUGAUUUAAUUACUUUUUACAAGUGCAUGUUUGAUAAUGAUAAAAUCACUGCACUGAAAGGAAUUCUAUGAAGAAUAUAAUUCUUGUUCUGUAUUUUUAAUGAAAUUUACAGAAUUAUUUAUACAAAUAAAGACAAUGUAGCCGUUGAAAGGCUUAAUAAUAUUAAAGGAGAAUAAGUGAAUACUUCCUAAACUAUUGCACAAUAUCUUUAUAAAAUAGGAAUGAAAUAUUCCUACAUGAUAUUGACAUUCAAGUGCAAAAAUCGUGCCGGGCAUAUUCCUUGACAAAUAACUUUGACGUGAGUGUUAGGAAAUUGGUAGGUGAAGCAGACACGCAGCUAAAGUGAAAUUGUAAGAAAAUAAAGAACAAGCACAAUAGAGAACACCAGAAAUUACGUGGUUCGGCAUUUAGCCUACGUCCACGGGCAAAAACAGAAGGAAAUAUUUUACUAGUGAAAAGGAGUUACAAGUAUUGUAAUAUUUUAGCUCACUACUCAAAACCCCAAUACACCCAAACUCUCUCAAUCACUGUAAUAAGAGCUUAUAAAUGCAAGCUCUUAAACUCCCUAAAUUGCUCUCUAAAAUGGAAUGCAUAAACUCUUCAUUUGUACUUCUAUUUAUAGCAAACUAGUGGCCAAGAAAAUCAAAGCCGUGUUCACCAAAUUCUUCAUCAAAACCGUGUGCAGCAAAUUCAAUCUUCAAACUUGUUGCAAGCUUACCAUUCUUGUCAAAGCUUCUAGAUGCAGCCAUGCCAAACACUUCUAGAUGCAGCCAUGCCAAACACUUCUAGAUGCAGCCAGUAGUGGAUUUCCUUUUAUCAAGGUCUCCUACAAAAUCUGAAUCCACAUAGCCACUGAUAGUAAACUCUGAUCCUCCAUAACAUAAUGCAACAUCUGAGGUUCCUCUGAUGUAUCUCAGAAUCCUCUUCACAGAUAUCCAAUGCUCUCCACCAGGAUUCGCCAUGUAUCGACUGACUGCUCCCACUGCUUGUGCAAUGUCCGGUCUAGUACAUAUCAUAGCGAACAUCAAACUUCCCACUGCUGAUGCAUACGGUACUCGAGACAUCUCCUUCCUCUCUGCUUCAUUGCUAGGACACAUACUUGAGGAUAAUUUGAAAUUAACAGGAAGUGGGGUAAAAAUUGACUUAUAAUCUUGCAUGUUGAAGCGUCGCAAGAUUUUCUUCAAGUAAUUCUUCUGCGAAAGUCAAAUCUUCUUGUUAUUUCUGUCUCGGUGAAUUUGCAUCCCUAGAAUCUUGUUUGCUGGUCCCAAGUCCUUCAUUUCAAACUCCCUAGCCAACUGUGCCUUCAAUUCUUGGACUCGAUCUUUGUUGGGGCCUGGUACCAACAUGUCAUCCACAUACAACAGUAAAAUAAUGAAAUCAUUAUCUUCAAACCUCUUGUAAUAUGCACAAUGGUCUGAACUGAGUCUGUUGUAUCCAAGGCUCAUAAUGAAGGAAUCAAAUCUCUUAUACCAACACCUCGGCGCCUGUUUGAGACCGUAUAGAGAUUUGUUCAACCUGCAAACCAAGUUCUCCUUUCCUGUUUCUGCAAAACCUUCUGGUUGGAGCAUAUAUAUUUCUUCUUCAAGUUCUCCAUGAAGAAAUGCAGUUUUCACAUCUAACUGCUCUAGAUGUAAGUCAAAUGUAGCACACAUUGCCAAGACUAUUCUGACUGUUGUGAGUCGAACCACCGGAGAAAAUAUCUCGUUAAAGUCAAUACCUUCUUUCUGAGCAUAUCCUUUCACCACCAGUCUUGCACGAUACCGCUCCACUUAGUCAUUGCCAUCACGUUUGAUCUUGUAGACCCAUUUGUUUCCAAUGGCUUUUCUUCCACGUGGUAGUGGUACAAGUUCCCAUGUCUUGUUCUUGUGUAGAGCUUCAAUUUCUUCCUGCAUUGCUGUCAUCCACAAAGCAACAUCUGAGCUGUUUAAAGCUUCAUGGAAAGUUAAAGGCUCUCCAUCCUCUGUCAGAAGACAGUAUGCAACAUUGAUCUCUAUGACAUACUCCAAGUGCCACGUUGGCGGUCGUCUCUCACGAGUUGACCGACGAAUUUCUUGAGCCUCGGACUCGACUGGUUCUUGUUCCUCUUGCUCUAGUGCUGCUUCAGAAGAAUCUGAAUCUUCUGGAUUAUUUUUCACAUAUACCGGUACAGUCUCUGACUUUUCUUUUACAGUGCUAUCAUCAUCAUCUUUCCUUUGCAGUUGAUCUUCUACAAAAAUAACAUCUCUGCUGAUGACGAUCUUGUGGGCAGUGGGAUCCCACAGACGAUACCCCUUUACUCCAUCAGCAUAUCCCAAGAAGAUACAUCUUCUAGAUUUUGCAUCCAGCUUUGUUCUUUCUCGGGCAUUGUACAUCACGUACACAGGACAUCCAAAUGCAUGUAGGUAGGAAUAAUCAGUUGGCUUUCCAGUCCACAUCUCAAUCGCCGUCUUCAACCCAAUUGCUGUAGAUGGCGACCGAUUUACUAUAUAACAGGCAGUUUUGGCUGCUUCUGCCCAGAAUGAAUUGGGUAGAUCAGCAGUCCUCAACAUAGCUCUUAUCCGUUCUGUAAGAGUUCUGUUCAUCCGCUCUGCCACUCCAUUUUGUUGAGGAGUGUAUGCCACCGUAAACUGCCUCUGAAUACCUUCUUGCUUACAGAAAGCAAGAAACUCUCCGUCUGUAUACUCUCCACCAUUAUCUGUCCUCAAGCACUUGAUCUUUUUACCAGAUUCAAGUUCCACCCGCGCUUUGUAUUCUUUAAACACUAGAAAUACAUCUGACUUUUUCUUAAUUGGAUACACCCAACAUCUUCUGGAAUAAUCAUCAAUGAAAGUCACCAUGUACUUUGCACCUCCCAUGGAUAUAUCCAGUGAUUCCCAAACAUCAGAAUGAAUCAAGUCUAGAAUGCAUUUACUUCUAGCAAUAGAUCUACUAAAUUUUAAUCUAUGCUGCUUACUUAUAACACAAUGCUCGCAAAAUGGUAAACUUACCGAUUUGAGCCCCGGAAGCAAUUUUCGCUCAGAGAGAAUCUUCAAACCUUGUUCUGACAUGUGACCAAGUUUGAGAUGCCACAUCAUAGUUGACUCUUCUCCAUUUGAUGCGACACACGCAUCAGCCUCCUGUAGUGUUUCUCCUUUAAGCAUGAAUAGAUUAGCACCGAUCUUUUCUGCUUUCAUCAAUACAAGCGCGCCUUUAACAAUCUUCAUAAUUCCAUUCUCCACAUGAGUUUUGCACCCAUGAUUGUCUAUUUGUCCUAAAGACAAUAGAUUUUUCUUCAGGCCAUUGACAUGUCGUACCUCCCCAAUUGUGCGAAUUGUACCAUCAAAUAUUUUUAUUUUGAUAGUACCAAUACCAGCGAUCUCCAAGGCAUGAUUGUUACCCAUAUAUACAAAUCCUCCUGAGAUAGGUUCAUAUGUGUGGAACCAUUCUCUCCUAGAGGUCAUGUGCCAGGUAGCUCCUGAGUCUAUAAGCCAGACAUCAGAAAGUCAUUUUCUGCCUUCUGAAACAGUUGUUGCCUCACUGUAGAGAAUUUCGCCAUCAUCCGAGGUACUUGCUACACACCCCUGAGCAUUUGAUGACUCAGGUUCUUUGCCUUCUCUUCACUUCUGGUUACUCCAACACUCUUUCUUGACGUGCCCUUUCUUGCCACAGUUGUAGCAUUUAACAUUCUUCUUACUUCUGGAUUUUGAUCUACCAUGAUUUUGACUCCCACUAGGGCCACGUUCCGUUGAUCUCCCUCUCAUCACCGAUAGCGCCUCCGCUUGCUGCGAACUUGCUAGUCUGUUUUCCUUAUUUUUCCGCAUGCUCUCCUCAUUUAAUACGGAGGCUGCAACAUCGUCGAAAACUAGACUGUCCGCUGGAUUAUUGUUCGUCAGGUUGAUGAUGAGUUGAUCAUACGAAUCUGGUAGACUUUGAAGUAGAAGCUCUGCAUGUUCAUUUUCCUCUAUAUUAUGACCCAACGUUGUGAGUUGUGAAAAUAGAGUCUUCAAGGUGUUGAUGUGGUCAGUCACUAUUGUAGAUUCUGCCAUUCGAAGAGUAUAGAGUUUCCUCUUCAAGAAGAUUUUAUUGUGUAAUGACUUGGCCUCGUACAAUUUUGUGAGAGUAUCUCAUAUUUCCUUCGCCGUAUUUUUCUCUGCCACACUGGAUAAUACUCCAUCUGCAAGUGCCAAGUGUAGAUCAGAAAUGGCGUUGCCGUCUACCUCGUUCCACUUGUCAUCAGUUAUCUCCAUGGGCCUUUCUCCAAUUGCUGCCAAGCAAUUAUUUUUCCUCAAUACAGCUUUCAUCUUCAUUUUCCACAACGAAAAAUUAUUUCCGUUAAAUUUCUCAAUUUCAUACUUUGCCGCCAUUUUGUUGAUAAAUACUGCACACAAGCUAGUAUACCACCUUGAAUAGUUGUGAGUAUGUGUGAGAAUGCACACCAGGAAAGUUCCCAGGAAAGACUGGAGGGGUCACAAUGGUCCCACUUAAAACCCAGACUCCUUAAGCUCUUAUUGCCUUUGUGACAGAACUUUCCUAGACAUGUACAAAACCACACAGUUGCUUUACUCACACCACUAUUCCCUGCUUUGCACCGUAAAAUUCUUGGAUCGCUCCCACCGUUUCACGUGAAUAGUACCGUAUACGUGAAUAGUACCGUAUAUGUGAACAAAACCGUAUACGUGAACAAUACCGUAUACGUGAAAUAGUGUCGUAUAUGUGUAUAGUGCCGUAUACGUGAAUAGUACCCCUUACGUGAACAGUUCCUGACUCCAAAAAAUACAACCAAUAGCUCUGAUACCACUGUUAGGAAAUUGGUAGGUGAAGCAGACACGCAGCUAAAGUGAAAUUGUAAGAAAAUAAAGAACAAGCACAAUAGAGAACACCAGAAAUUACGUGGUUCGGCUUUUAGCCUACGUCCACGGGCGAAAACAGAAGAAAAUAUUUUACUAGUGAAAAGGAGUUACAAGUAUUGUAGUAUUUUAGCUCACUACUCAAAACCCCAAUACACCCAAACUCUCUCAAUCACUGUAAUAAGAGCUUAUAAAUGCAAGCUCUUAAACUCCCUGAAUUGCUCUCUAAAAUGGAAUGCAUAAACUCUUCAUCUGUACUUCUAUUUAUAGCAAACUAGUGGCCAAGAAAAUCAAAGCCGUGUUCACCAAAUUCUUCAUCAAAACCGUGUGCAGCAAAUUCAAUCUUCAAACUUGUUGCAAGCUGACCAUUCUUGUCAAAGCUUCUAGAUGCAGCCAUGCCAAACACUUCUAGAUGCAGCCAUGCCAAACACUUCUAGAUGCAGCCAACUUUGACAGUGAGCAAGUCCUGUGGAGUGAUAAACCCGUUCUUGACUUGACCGUUGAUGACUUUCCUUUUGGUAAUCUUGGUCUGCUUGCUUAACAAGUGGUACCCGUAACCCAUCCAUACAGCUAGCCUAGCUAAACAGCAUAAAUAAAUGUCUAACGAUUCUUAUAUAAAAAGCCACCACCCCAAGCCAAAAGAAAAAAAAAAUUGUGCUGAACACAACAAUAUAAUUUCUUCAGUUAUAUUUACUUGGAAACAAGAGAGAUGAAUAUGAAGAAGCAGAAGCCAAAAGCUAUUGUAGUUGGAGGAAGCAUUGCUGGGGAAUCAUGCGCAAAAGCACUUGUUUCAGCAGGCUGGGAUGUUGUUGUGAUUGAGAAAACUCGUGGACCCCCAACCCAAAACCCAACCGGUGCUGGCCUUGGACUCGAUCCAUUGGCUCAGAAAAUUGUUCAGUCAUGGCUCCAUGAACCUGAACUUCUUUACAACAACACUUUACCUAUCACCAUUACUGAGGUAUAUAAAAUAAUAUAUUUAAUUUCUUUUUUCCCAGUAGAAUCCAGUAGUGCUUUGAAUUAUUUUUUUUUCUUUUAACCACGAGGUAUCCUGGGGAGGGCCCCAACUGUGGGAGACACCUUUAAGCCUGUACCACAACCCAGACUGGAAGUCCCCGCUCGAACCGGGAGACACAGGUUCUCCCAACAAAGGCGACUUCCCUGCAACUCGUGUAUACUUUGAAUUAUACCGAUCUCUUAAAGAUAUUAGUUGCACACGUGUAUAUACAAUGGUGUAUGGUUAAGAUUUGAUAAAAGUAUAUUUUGCUCUGCACAAAAUACAAUUUAGAAUGGAAUUUCAUUGGGAAAAAAAUAUCUAUAUAUGUUGAAUAUAUAAAAUUUCAAUUUGUGUUUAAUUGCAGAACCUAGCAACAGAUGGGGAAAAGAAGAUCAGCUGGGUAAUAGGAAGAGAAGAAGGCGCUAGGUUUCUGACAGCAUAUUGGGCUGAUCUUCAUGGCCUUAUAUACAAUACUCUGCCACCUGAAAUAUUUUUAUGGGGUCACCAGUACCUCUCUUUCUGUAUUUCUGAAGACAAAUUAACUGUCAAAGUUAGAGCUAAGGAUCUUGAGACUGAUGAAAUAAUCGAGAUAGUAGGAGAUUUGCUCGUCGGAGCAGAUGGGAUCCUCUCAUCAAUUGGUCAGAGCAUUCUACCUGACUUCAAAUUGAG